rnacentral:lncRNA from 1 species
UUUUUUUUUUUGUAAUAUUCAUGACAUAGUUAAUUUUAGAAUGGAAUUUGUGGAAUGUAAUACUUCUGUUGUUACUCAAGACUAAGAGGGAAAGUUUGGAACUAGCUGCAAUUAGUACUUGAGAGUUCGUAUUGUAUUUAACAUUUCUACUUCCAUGAAUUUGGAGUUAGUGGUAGCACCUUCUAGGAAAUGAAAGGAGGCAAAGCUUUUCAAAACUGGCUUCAUUUUGCCAGAUCUCACUAGGUAGAUCCAAGAUUCUUGGUGAAAUUUAAUGAAAGUGAAGUAGUAAUUAACAAUAAGGGACGAUUCAAGGACUGUUAGCGCUUGUCAAUGAGCAAGAGAAGUGACAACAUCAAAGCAUGCUUCAACAACAAAAUAGCUUAAAAUGGCUUAUGAAGAACUAUAUGUGACUUGUAAGCAUAGACUUGAGAUCUGGUUUGUGUCGGUUCAGUCCCUCGAGGCAUGUAGCACGCCAAAAAUGGUCGUAGGUUUGGACUCCAUAAUAUGCUAGCACUUGCUGUCUUGGUACAGAUUUCAUGUGGAUCCAUGUCAUUUGGCAUGUAUUCUUGGCACAGAACCUAAGACAUGAAAUAUAUACUUUAUUUUGAAUAUCAGCUUUUAAUUAACAAUGCAAGAUUGGCCAGAAUAAUUUCCGUAUGGCUAUAUGAUAACAAAAUCCAGGUAAUUUAUUUCAAAAAAAUCUUACCUGUGCAAAAACUAGAGCAUUUAUAGACAUUGGGAUUUGCCACCCAGUCCAUGUAUAGCGUCGAGAGUUGCUUUUGUGAAAAUGAAGAAGUGCAGUAAGAAUUGCUCAUGCCUAAAAUGUUCUUGGUCUUAUGUUAUGUUCUGAAGAAAUUUAAUUCUGAUCCUUGGUUUUGCUGCAUGUCAGCAAACCAGAAUUUUCAGGUUUCGGCAAAUGUCAGCCUCGAUCUCAGACUUGUUCUAUGGUUGUUAGAAGCAUUAUGCUGAGAUCUUUUGUAUGGUAGUGUUUGAUUACUCAACUUUUUAUGCUGUCGACAAGAGAACUGAUAUUGUCUUUUUAAAAAAACUUAAAAUUGAAACAAGAUAUCCUCUAGACAUUAGAUAUAUUCUUCUACAGAACUGCUGAAAGGUGCACUUUUCUCUUCUAGUAAAAACUUGGAAUUUAAAUGAGAUAUUUUAAUGUUCUUUUAAACAACUUGUGUUUAUGUUUAACAAGAAUUGCUUGGACAGACAUAUGAGAAGAAAGGUUGAGGUUUUAAUUAAUUUGAUAUGAAGGUUUGCUUUAGCCCUUCAGGUAGUUAAGGCCGUCUGCUUUGUGUAUACAUUGAUUAGUAAUUUCUCGAAGGCUUAGAUAACUUUGCUGAUGUUAUGCAAAACGUCUAUUUUAUGGGAUUUGCAUGUGAAUACUAUAGUUUGUUGGUAUGUCUUUAAGUUAUAAGGACCACCACUUUAUGAAAUUAUAAAUGAAGUCAGAUUCAGCUUUGAAAAUCAGCAUAUGCCCAUUCUUAUGAGAAUGAAAAAAAAGAGUUUUUGAGAAUACACCAGAACAUUGUACUGAUAUAUGCAUUCUAGUGGAAAUACCUUUGAUAUUGGUAAACUCGUUUCAUAUGCUUGAAAUCCUUGGAGGUUGAAAUUUUACCUUUUUAUUAGAUUGAUUCCUAGUAGUUAUAUUUUGCUUUCUCACUUUGUUGGGCACUAAAUGAUAACCAUGUUCCAGUCUGUACUCCGAGGUAGAUUCUUGAGAAAUGGCAGGUCUGUUGAGGAUGGACAACAGCAUUCCGUUGCAGCUAGAGAAUUAGGUCAGCUAAGGCAGCGUCAAACUGUAUCUGGCUUCAGGUAUGGUUUCAUCUAUAUCUCCAAAUGAUCAAUAGGGUUAAUUGAAGUUGAUAUAUCAAAUUUCUGUUUCUAGGGAAGGAUUUCGCUCUCAAGAGAGCAGUAUUGUCACUGAUCAAGCAAGCAGCCAAUCUGCUGAUGGUGAUAGCGUCAAUAUAUCUGGAAAUGAUAUCUCUGUCACAAAUGCAUUGGAGGUUUCCGAUGUGACCUAUGAUCAAUUUCAAGCAAGCGAUGAUGAUAUUGAUAUACAUCAGACAGCAGAAGUUGAUACUACAGUUCAGAUGGAAAGCAACAUGCAGAGCAGUGAUAUGGGCGGGAGAGAAUAUGCAAUUCAGGAUGAUAAUUGGCCGGAGGAUGAUGCAGAACAUGGGCAAGGGGAUUGGCAACAGCCUAUUGAAGUCGGAUUGAGUGUACAACAUGAUGGCCCUGUAGAAGAACCUGACAGGAACUGGCAUGAAAAUGUAGACCAGGAGUGGCUUCAUGAAACCCCUGAAGAUGAAGAUAGACAAGGUACCCUUCUUCUGGAAGCACAUCAACAUUGGCAUAGCGAUAAUUCUCAAGCGACUGAAGCAAACUGGCAAGAUGGACCAUCAGACUCUUUAAAUGAUCAGCAUUCUUUUCGUGUUAUAAGAAACGGAGUCAUUUCAUCAGAUGAUGACAAUGUGUAUAGCAUGGAACUUCAGGAACUCUUGAGCAGGUAUUAGCUGAUAGUGUAGUUGGCUAAAUUGUAAGAGGUGAAAUUAUGUUGGGUCAUCAUCUUGCUGAGUUGUUUCAUACUUGCACUGCAGGCGAAGUGUAUCUAAUCUUCUUCACAGUGGGUUUCGUGAAAGUCUCGACCAACUAGUACAGUCCUAUAUUCAAAGGCAGGGGCGUGAUGCAUUUCAGUGGGACAUGCAAAGUGCUAUGCCUGACCAUGUUUCACCAGAGGAAGACCAGAGGCAGCAAAGAGAUGAUUUGAUUCAGAGCCAACAAGAUUCUGUUACCAGGCCUCUACAUACUCCACCAACGCCACCGACACCACCUCCGCUGCCACUAUGGCAUUCAGAAUUGCAUAACAGUUGGAGUCGGCAGCACAUCCGUCGCACCGAUAUUGUGAGCUUAUCUUCUUUUAUCGUCUGAUUUGUUAAGUUGUGUCGGAAAGUUUGUGUUAAUGAAGAUUUUAGUUAACCUCAAGCUUUUUGUAACCUAUAUAUGUUUUUCCUUUCUUCGUGAAUACAGGAUGUGUGAUUGGCUACACUAUUUUGAUUGUAUUUAUUGGAUGUGUUUCAUAAACUUGAGAUUAUCUAGUUUGAUACUGAUAUGGUUUUGUUGAUGCAGGAAUGGGAUAUUGUUAAUGAUUUAAGGGCUGACAUGGCUAAGCUUCAGCAAGUGAUGUGUCAUAUGCAACGGAUGUUGGAGGCAUGCUUAGAUAUGCAGCUAGAGUUGCAGCGUGCGGUUAGACAAGAGGUUUCAGCAGCUUUAAAUCGUUCAGUUGGAGAACAUGGUCAGUAGCUUCAUUUUAGUGACAGAGACGUCCUACAUCUUUUUUCUAUAUUGCACAUAGAAGAUUGAUUCAGUUCUUUUAUCUUCUCUGGUACUAUCAUCAUAAGCAGUACAUGUUCAAGUCUAUAUCAUGGUUGCAGGAUGAUAUUGUCGUGCAUGGGUUUUGAAUAAAACCCAUGAAUUUUGAAAUAUAUGCAUAAAUAUUAAAAUUCACGAAAUACUAGUCAUAAUUUUAAGCAUUAUUAUGACACACAGUUUUGGUUCUAGGAAGCAAACCUGAAUGCUGGGAAGCCAUGUUGGUUUAAUUGAAAGGGUUUGUCAACACUGUAGUUUUAACCUUUUCUUAUAAGCACUAGUUGAAUUCAAAGUGAUCAAUUUGAAGAACAUAGGUUUUCUUGGUAAGUAUGUGAUUAAGUUUAUUGAUAAACUAUUUAAACUUUCAUGUUCUUUAGUCCCUUUAUUUCUCUUUCUUAUUUGUACUCCUUGGGUUUUAGCUGCAGUCUCCAUAGAAUAAGAUCCAGUGUUUCACUAUUUGGCAUUACUUAAGUUAGCUGCAGUAUGAUGUUUGUGUUUCUGUCAGAUACUUAUCAGACUAAUUUAUUCAAAUAAUGAAAAUGGAACAAUUUAAAAGGGUUGGCCCUUUUAUAAAUCUUAAGGCUUAUUGCGAACUAAACUUCCAAAUAUCAACAUAAAUAUCUUAUUUGUUUAUAAUUAUUAUUCUCCUACAUGUUCCUGUAUUUAAAUUGUCUGCUUGUGAAAUUUUCUCUCCUUGAGAAGGUGCCAUUUAUUUCAUGUUCUCUAUUUAAAUUUUGUCUUCUUGUCUAAUUCUUAUGGUGUGUUGUGCAAUUCUGCCAUCAGUUACAUAUGGUCACAAAAGCAAGCAGAGUCAUAAAGCUCUAUCCUACUUUUAGUGAGUUUCCUUUACCGAAUCACUAUGGCCUUUGCUUACGCAGCUGUGUGGUGAGCACAAGGAGAAUUAUUGUUUCACCUUUUUUACACUAUGGCUUGGUUCAAAAUAAAAUUCUUCUGUUUAAUUUCUGCUUUGCAAAUAACACAUCCUUGCUGUUCUAAGAGUGCAUCUUUUCUUUUGUGCUUCAUGUAUGUGGGAAUACGACCAUAAACCCGUCAAAAACAUGAUUUUUUUGGUUGGAAUUGGACUAUAUUGUUGCUGAAGAUGUUUUGCUGGCCUUCUCAUUGCUUUGGAAACACAUUUUUCUGUAUAAAAAUUGUUUUUAGAUUUGCUUAAUCCUACUUCUAAUGCGGCAGGGGAAGUCGGAGAAUCAUCAGAAGAUGGAAUAAAAUGGAGUAACGUGAGAAAAGGGAUUUGUUGUGUCUGUUGCGAUAAUCAAAUCGACUCUCUUCUUUACAGGUAAUAGUUUCCUCAUACUUCACCUACAACAGUGCAUUAUUAAAUGGAGAAUUCUUCGAUUGUUUUUGUUCUAUACAGAUGUGGGCACAUGUGCACCUGCUCAGGAUGCGCGAACGAGUUGGCUCAAGGCGGAGGCAAGUGCCCUUUGUGCCAUGCACCCAUCGUUGAGGUGGUUCGUGCCUAUUCCAUAGUGUAGAAGUAAUAAACUGGGUUGGAGACAAAAGGGGGACCGUCGGUUUCGAUGAGGGGAAGGGAAGCUCUCCAGAUUCAUCAAAAGAUGUAUCCGUGGUCGUUCAUGGUGUCUUUGGCUUUAGGCAUUCUUAUGAUUAUUAUGAGAGUCAGGAAUUUUGAGUGGACCUGUAAAUGGCACCUUCUCAUCAUCACUGAUUCACAAUAAAUAUUAUAAAAAAAGAAAAAAAUGAAGCAAAGGGUUCCUAGAACUUUUUGUUCGUAUCAUCCUGGAUAUCCGCUCUCUUAACAAUUUUUCCCUCAAACUCGAGACUUAUCAGGAAACCAAAUAGUAGUAUGGGAAGCACGAGGAUGGUCGUUCUUGGCCGAGGGAGAGACCUGCUCCGGCUUCACGUCUAUGCGAUGAUCAUCCUAAUACUGAUGAUGAUGGAAUCGCCUCAACUUUCACGAUGAGGUUCAUUUGUGAUGAUGAUGAACCAUCGAGGGCUGCGUCACGUCUAUGCGACAAGAGGCGUAAAGCUUGAUCAUCCAGAACUACAGAACGGGUCUUGUAGCAAGCAGUUGAUAUAGGAUACUUAAAGCAGUUGAUGUAGCAAGCAGAAUACUUAAAGCAUCAAGAUUUUGUUUACUACUAAAAUCAUGAAUUCCUUUUCCUCCCAUUCCAUUUCUGACCCAGUAAGAUUUUUCUCUGUUGAAUUCCCAAUAACAUUAGAAGGUGGAUCAAUAUAUUUCUUUGAAUCAAUAUAUUUCUUCCUAUAUCAAUAACAAAUCCCAAUGACAAGUUAUCUUGUGUGUACAAGAUAACUUGGCCCAUGCAAAGUAUUUAAGUAUUUUUUUCGCUUUAUUUGGCUGCACUAAAUAGAAUAUGUUUUGCUGACUCCAUAUUGCCCCAAAAUCUAUACCUUUUCCUUGUUUUCUUGUUGAAACCCAUAGAAAAAUGCAAUCCAGUUACAAGUGUCAAAGUUGACUACAGGAUGAUUGUAUUUAGUAUUCAUGUCAAUAAGUUUGGCUUGCAUUGGCAUACCUGACACUCAAAAAAGACUUCCUCCUUGACCAACUUAUUCAGAAACAAAGAUCUUAAGGAAAUCAUGAACUCGGUUAAAAGAUAAAUACAUGCUCACAUAGACACGAUCGUGUAAUAUGCUAUGGUAUGGUGCUGACACAUGAUAUGCUAUUUUUAUAAAUGACCAAAAUACAAUUUCGACAGGAUGGUGUUUCUGCACAAGCAGUUUAGCCGGGAAUUAGAUGUGCCUUCUCUUUGUUUAAUGAGGUUAUGACACGGUUAUGGUUCAAAGAAAUAUAGGGCGGGCUGGCAAACAAUAGGAGCAGCAGAAUCUCACUUACAUAUACAAGAUGAAAGAAAAGAAAAAUAAAUAAAUAUAACUUUACAUGCCGAGGAAAAUGGUAGACCUACGGUUAUGUGCCUGCUUCAAUCCUUUCCAGGACUUCCAGCCUUGUCUUCCUCUUCCAACCUUUCAUAGUGGCAACAAGGUUUACCAGUCCAUUUAUUUGACUUUUACUGUAUUCCUGCAGAUUCAACACAAAUCUAAGCUAAAACAAUGCUGGAGAUUAAACAAGGAGAACUGCACUUUGCUGAGAUUCUACUCAUAAUAAAAAUCAAUUCGUACCGGAUGAGCACGUGCCCAAUGCACAUAUUCAGUCUCUGGAAGAUAGUAGGCCUGUUAUCAUGGAAACAAACAACAGUUGUAAAUAUAGUGCCAAGUUUCAGUCAAAUAGUUCAGGAUGAUGAGGUACCACAAAAACAAGUAAUUUGACUGGACUAUCUCAUGCAAAUGGACCAAUUUGUAUCACAACGUAACAAGAGUUGAAUAUUAGUAUGACAAAAUGUGCUAAGCUUUAGUUCACUGAUGAUAACUAAAAAGUUUGUUCAUAGUCAAUGUGAAAAUUUAAGGCUUUAAAACCGUUGUUUAUGUAAAUAUAAAUAAUAUCAGUAAACUCACUAGACAUAGUCCAUAUAUUUCUUUCUAAUACUAGUUAUUACAUUCUUACACAUUUUAAAAAAAUUAUAUAUAUAUAUAUAUAUAUAUAUAUAUAUAUAUAGUUCCAUCAUAAUAAAUUUUAGGAACUCUAUCACAAGAUAUUUUAACCUAAAAAGCUAUUUUUUCAUCAAUUGCCUUAAUAAACACCUUUUAUGUUUGGUCUUCGAAGCAUAAAAAUUAUUAAUUCUCAGAAAUAGUUGUUUCCAUCUUAUCCUACCUUCGCUCAUCAUUUAUCAAAACAACAUCCCCGCAAGUUCACAUAUAAUCCUUAGGUUUUCUACAUGCUUGUAUUUUGCUAAAGACAUCUUCACUUCCACAAUCAAGAACUAAGGGAUUUGAAAAUAAUCAACAGAAAAAAUAUAUAUAUUGGGAGAUCACCGAGCAUCCACUAUCCCUUAUAUUUGCAUUAACCACCUCCUACAGACCUCCUCAUGAGGGGCCUUUUUGGUUGAUUUAUCUUCCUUGUGUCACCAGCAGUUUUAAGAAGGAAACACUCAGAUGGAAAUCCAUCAGUAGUGGCAGCUUGUUAUCUUAACAUUCCACCACAGUUCAACAAGUUGGGAUGUAAUAACGAAUGGUCAAUGCAAACACUGAUAUUUUUCUUCGAAAAGAUUAUGUUUUCUACAGCUAUUCGUACUUAACAUUUCCAACAGACAUUAUUGAAUUUGUUUCAGAGUAUUUGAUAUCUUGACACAAAUUUUAAAAAUCCAUAUGGUGCAUGAAACUGAGUGUGCAGACAACACAGUGGAAUUAAGAAAUCUUCAAACUGAUAUAACACUGCAUAUGACACAAGAAAAAACUUUACCUUGAUAAACACUUCCACUAUCUGCAACUUUGGCUUCACAUUUAUGGUGACAAAAUGUUGUAGUCCAUUAAUCAACACCUGAAAUUAGUAAAGGAUAUAAGUACCUGUAAGUCUUUUCCAGAACUAACAUCAUCAUAGAUUAUUAAAACCUGAAGGUCGAGUGACAUUAAAACCCGUCCUUCAUCCGUGCAUCUCUUUACGCGUGAUAGACCUUCAAUAAGUAUUUCUGCAACAUUUUCAAGUCCAUAUUCCAGAAGGAGAUCUUGAACCUGAUAUAUUGUGAAUGAGAUUAAUACCAAUGACAAAGACUACAAUACGGACAUUGUUUUUGUACCUGCUUGGACUAAUAAUAUAAGUUUCCUGGAGAAGCAAUCUUAUUGGAUCUCCAUAUAAAAGGAAAAUGUGUUAUAAAUAACAGAAUGAUUGAUUGUAGUAUUUUGCUCAAGAAAAACUACUACAAAGGAGUCCUGGCAUUCUAUAAUAUUGUAUAUGAUUUAUGAGUUCAUGUAUCUCAUAACACAAAGACUCCAUUAUCAGCAUACUUCACAGCUUUCCCUUUUCUCCUGUUGGUUUACAAGUUUGAUCAAGUGUCACUAACAUACUGAUGCUAGAAUGGAUUUACAAGCCAACAGGUUCUUUUGCAAGGUGAUAUAAAUUGGUUGACUACAGCAUUAGUGUACGGACUUGAGCACAAGGGUGAAAAGAAUAGAAGUACAGGUACAGUUAACAAAAAAGUCAUACAGGGAAUUAAUUGUAUUUGGGAGAUAAAAAUUCAUCCAGUUUCUUUUGCAAGGCAAUAUAAAUUUGGUUGACUAAGACAUUGGUGUAUGGACUUGAAGCACAAGAGUGAAAAGAACAGAAGUAUAGCUACAGUUAACUAAAGAGUCACAUAGGGAAUUAAUCAAAUUUCGGAGAUAAAAAUGUAACCAGACUGUCAAAGUUAAGAAAAUUAUUAAAUGUGAUUACCUCCUUUGAAAUACCACCAUGCAUCAAUCUUGUUUUAUAAUGUUUGAAUUCUCCCAAUAACAAGUCGACAUACCUAUCAUUAUAAAACAAACAUGAAAUAUUAAAUAAGAAAGCCAAAUCAAGUGAACAAAAGAAUAGGAAAUAUGUGUAAUAAUUGACAAAAUUUUCAAAUUAUCAGCCAUGCUGUUAAACAAUCUAGGUUAUGUCCAUCUGUCAACCAACUACCUUAUAUCUUUUAAGACAACCUCAUGACUAAUUUUGCCUUUAAUAGGAAAAUGAAACCAACUUGGGGGAGAUUUGUUAUCAUGUUGAGAAUCCAUAGAAGUAUCCUAUGGAAAUUCUGUGAACCUUUCGUAAUUUUAAGGUAUUUCCUAUAUAGUCAACCCUAAAAGUCUUCAAUGAUCAUAUGUACAAAUUGUAUGAAACAAACAAGAAAUGCCAAUUAGUUUCUGCAUAAAACAAAAGCACAAUGUUCUAUCAAAUAACAAGCAUGUAGUUAAUAUUGUAGGUCAAAAAUUUUGAAGUACAAUUAAGGAUUUUUCACAUCAAAAUAAUAACAAAGUAAAAUUAAGAACCAAGCAUCAUGACAUCUCUAAUAAUUUGCUUAAAACUAACAAGAAAACUAAGUCUUAAAUCAGACAGUUCAGUAUUUGUGAUAUGUAGAUUAAAGAAUAGGGUAAAGAUAAGUUUGUACCCUAGGGGUGUACCUUAUUUUGUUGUAUAGUGAACUAAAAGUAUAUCCCCACAAAAAAAUUUAAAAUUUAUCAAUUAGUAAUUCUUAACCAAUUAUCUGAGACCCAUCCUUUUAAUACCACCCAGAACAAGUUUAUAAAGCCAGAUGGUAAAUAUGUAUCACACCUUAAAAGCCAGCUUCAGUAUAUUCCGGUACCUACUAGCCAAUACCAACAAAAAUUCAUUGGUACUAAUUGCCAAAGCUGGCCAAAAUAGAUCAAAAUAGUUCAGAGUGGCUGAGAGUGUUGACAAGAUGCACACUGCUUCCUCCGGUUGGCAAAAGGGUGUGCCACAGAAAAUAAAUCAUUGGUUACACUUCAGUAACAUUACUGAGAACUUACAACCAAGGAUAUGCUCUUGGUUUAAAGUGAUGUUUGUGCAUAAUGGACCAAAAAUAGUACCACUUUGAGGAAAUCAGAAAAAUGGACUUGCAUAUAUGAACUGAACUAACUAAAAUUUGAGCUGGAAUCUCAUAGUCAAUGCCAACAAAGCCCACAGUGUCCGACUCAGGUUAUAAAGUUACUUGGACCAUUGCAAUUGUACCAAAGAAAUUCUAUAGGCUUCUAUGUGGACUAAUGCUUCCUGGAAUGAAUUAGCAUUUGACACGCGGUUAGCCUCAUCAGAGAGCAACUUCUAAGGAUAUGGAUGGAAGGAGGCCAAAUAGAUUUACUCCAAAAAAGAAAAGUAAACUACAGAAGAAAUUUAUAAGAUAUGUGGCAGCUGAGGAAUUGAGUAGGAAAAUCAUAAUUCUUCACUAUCUACAUUCUGAACAUCUUAAAGUAUGGGCUUGCAUAUUGGACCAGGUGUUCUAAUAAUAACUUGGAUACAUGUAUAAGAUCAUAUUAACAAGGGCAGCUCCAACUGAGUUAUUGAGCUAGCAGCUCAGUGCAAUGCAAAAAAGAUUUCUAAUCUUUUCAAAUGCCCACAUAUAAAAAUGAGCAUGUGAAAGGGCAUUUGACUGAUCACACAACAGAAACAUUAUUUUGGCAGGCAGUCCUUAAUUAGAACUAACCUCAAUAUAAUUAAUUAUGUAAGAAAUUGCCUUGCAUGCAAGGAACAUGCUUUAAUUGUCUUUAGUCAGGACCCUGGAUCUCAAUGCACAAGUUUUUAUUAGGAACAAUAUCUUAAAAACUGUGAAGGAUGUAAAUACACACGUGACUUGCAUAGAACAUCUACAACAGGAAAGAAGAGGUUUUUUUUGCUAUGGAUAUAAGUAGCUUAAGAUGAACAAUACUAUGCUGAAUUUAAUAAGCCGGGAAUGACAUUCAAGGAUAGGCUCACUACUUAGCAUGUACUAUAAGGUAACAACCAAAAUAAAUUUACAAUAACAAGCAACCAAAAAUAGAAAAUUAUCAUGGAACCAACCCAUUGUGCUCUAAGCCAAGCUCCUUGACCUCCCAUUUUGCAUUAGCAAUCUUAUCUGCAUACCUGGCCAGCAUUAAGAUGCUAAAAUUGUAACUGUGACUAAAUAAAAAAUAAGAAAAUGCAAGCACUUUUGGACAUGAAAGAGCUAAUUUUAUGAAGCAAGGUAUCUUCUUAUGAAUCUUGGGCAUAUAUUACAACUAUAAAGACCAAGUAAUAAUUCUCAGAUUUUUAUGGCAAUGUCAAUCACAUGUUGCACCAAAAUGUAAAUGCUCUUUAUUGGCACCCAAAUGAUGUGACUUUUAGUUCUGUCAAUUUAUGUUGGACCAAGUGCUCUAGAAUAUACAGAUUGACAUCAGACCGGCAGAAGAUUGGACUAAUGCAUUAAAUGUUGAACUGAGAAGGCUGGCCAAAAAACAGGGAAUUUGCAACUUUAUUUAUAAACAUGAACUCUAAAUGAUUGCCGACCCCAAAUUGUUGGGACUUACAACUUUGUUGUAGUUGUUGUAACUUUAAAUGAUUGGCCAAGCUUUUCUAAAAUUACGUCUCCAUCUGAAAUUUGACAAACUUUUAUGACCAACUGCUAGAAAUAACAUCACCCUCAAAAGUUGUGACAAAUUCCUGGCUUAGAUUUUGGCAGGAGAGGUAAACAAAAUAUUUAAGAAUAACCAUUAUGAGCAUAACAGUGCAGAGGAAUACAGAAAUGCAAGAUUCAACAGCAUAACCUCUGUGGGUCACCUACAACAGUUCCAACAUUUAUCAUAUAGUAUGCCCUUUAAUAUAUAUCAGGUACCAAUACACCCAGGAUGAUAGCAAUAAAGAAAGCUAGAAUGUGACAACAUUAUUCCUGUCUUGCUAGCAUAACCAACAAGGUUUUAAUCUUCUGCUUGAUCGACACUGCAUUAAGUUCACAAUACAAACGGCUUGCCAAGAAGUUUAAGAAAUGAAGCUAAAUGCUCUGAUACUUCACAAUGAGAAGUCAUGCGGGUACCACGGCAGAUGAAUUUGGAUUGGAGGAUAAGUUUUUAAUAAGAACACACACCAGAUAUCUUACUAGCUUCCUUACGGGUCGUGUGAAGAUGAUGGAAAAAGAAAGUGUGUAUGCGACAAAAGAUCAUAGUUGUUACAGUAGGGCAAUUGCAAAGCUCUCAAGAAAUGCUAAAAAGAAUAUCAUAUUAUCAUUGUCGCAAUAUGGCACUUAGAAUUUAGCUCUCAAGAAUUAGAACAUUAAGCAAAAAGUAGUAAGUGAUUGAUACUAAUGAAGACAAUAGAAAUAAAAAAUAUUAACAUUGCCAGGGAACAAUACUAAUUGCCUAGUUAUAUGGUAAUUUGUUUAGCAAUGUCAAAAAGGGCAAUUCAAGAACCAAAUGUCCUAAUUUGCCGUCUUCGAUUUAACAAAGGAAUAAAUAACAAGUGCAUGAAAUCUAGGAGCAACGUAAUAUUGCUUAUUCAAGAGAGCAUAUUUGAAGGUGGCAGGAAGUACUUCUUUAAUAACUAUGAGAUUAACUAUCACAAGCAGACCUCAUUUUGUUUUACAAAGUCACUACUCAUUUGCCACAUGUUAGCAAAGCCAGUACAAAAGUAUCCUGCCUGUUCUCAUCUUUAUAGGCUUCAUACAUGCCCUAUUUGUUCCUCCCACUCACAGCUUCCAUGUCAAGACUAUCAGAUUGAGCAAUCUUACAUAUUCUUACUACUAACAUAUGUGGAGCUUUAACAAUCAACGAACUAAUGAUUUCUUGAUGUACAGUUUAGAAAAAAAUAGUGUACAUGGAAGAGAAUUUUCAUGGAAGCAUUAUAUUUCCAUCAGAAUGAUCAAGCCACAGUUAUCAGCAUAUACCCAUUAAUAUGAAGAAGCAUACGUGCAGUUGUUCUGUGAAUGUGCUCAGUCAGAUCAGGAACAGAGUCCACCUGACACAAGAAAGUCAAGUUUAAGUCACCCUAAACCUUGCCAUUUCUCGACAAAAGGUGAUAUAAAAAAUGAUAAAAUAAAUACAAAAAACAUAGGCAGUAAUUAGGCAAAGCUGAUCAUCAUUAACCUCGAGGAAAAAAACAGUGAAGACUAAAAGGAAAGAAAUUAAGCGCACUGGUCGUUUGGGAAAAGACUGAGCAAAGAUUACCAUAUUUACAAAAAAUUCUUCUACUACAGCAGCAUUAUGCUGCAAUAACAUAGACUGGAGAUGCGCCUUUGAUCUAUGCAAUACUUGAGCAACUAGUGAUAUUGUGUCAACAGCAGAACAACGUUCCUGUAACGGGAGAAAAUAGCAAUAAGCAGAGCAGUAAAUUGACCCAGUGAGAGAAAAUGCAUAUUCAUAAGAUAAAUGUUAUAAAAACCCAGGAAGAUUACUGAUGGCAGAAUAAAUUGGUUCAUGGGCCACAAAUUUACUCCAAAAUAAAAAUCGGAGCAUGAGUGUCUGAUAGACAUUUUAGUAUAGAAAUAAAAUGUUUCAAUACUUCUUGUUCUUCUUUCUAAUUUAUUUCAAAAAAGAUAUAUAUUUUUUAUAUGAACUGUUCAGACAGUAUUGUACAACUAUCUCAACAAUUUUCAAAUUGAAUUGUUCUGGUACACUGACCUGUACCACUGUAGGACCAUUGAAUAAAAAUUUAGAACCAAUAUCAAUGCUACAUGCUUUAACAACAGUACUUGGUUGAACCCAUAAGUAUUGGUUGGUACCUUAUUUACCGAACUGACCAGUAUUUAAAUGCUUUAUAGCACAUAUGCAGUAGAUGUCAAAUACCUUAAGUCCAAUGGAAGUAUUAGGCACAUGCCCAAAAAUUGUGCUGGGAGGUGCUGUAGGUGUUACUUCCAUCUGUGUAAAUGUUGGGCUCAUUGGAAUAGGAGAUGAGAUUGAAUAUGACAUGCUUUGGGUUCUGAUCCACUGAUCACAAUCUUGCAGAAUCUUCGAUAAGGCUGUUUUGACUCGAGCUGGACAUAACAGAAGCAAACAAAACCUUUCAUAUUAUAGUAAAUACAUUACAUACAAUAUGUCAUCCAGCUGAAUUAUGCUUAAGACUGGGUAAAUGAAAGAGAUAAUAAGUUGCUCACUUUGCGAAAAGUCUGGAAUAGAUUUACCACUUUGACUAGUUUCUGGUUGACCAAAUGUCUCAAAUAUAUGAUGAUAAAAAAUCCCAAACAACUGGCACAUUCCCUGCAAUAACAUACUGAAUGAGAAGAAAGAAAAACAUUUAACAUUCAUCGUAAAAAGGUCUAAAAGAAGUAACAUAAAGAGAAUAUAAGUUGCAGCUUACCUUGAAAAAAUCAAUGCUGACUAUUUCCAAUUUCUGCAUGAGCCUGGCAUACUUGUCCAUCAACCUGAUUGAAUGAAGUAGUAAAAUUUCUGCAUUAUGAAAUACUAAGAUAAACAAUCUGCUCUGUGAGAGAGGACUUACCUCAAUAGACAAAGCGAGGACCCUGUCUGUGCUGAGAUCUCCUCACUACUCCAACCAGAGGAUUUGGUUCUCACAAGUGUGGGCUUAGAUAUUCGACUAGGCAACUGACUAUCCUCAUCAAUAAAGUCAGCAAGAAGGUCUUCAUUCUCAUCUUCCAUGACCGAACUGCUUCCAUUUAUGUGAUCAUCUAGAUGGCCCUUUGAAGAUAUUUGAUCACUAUGCAAAAUGACACGACCAUCACCAGAACUUGAGGUCAUUGACCCAUUAGGCGGUAAGUGAGAUCUUGGUGAUUCCUUACAGCCAAAUGCCAGCUUUGAAGAAAAUGGGUUUUCCAUCUGAAGCCAAUAAGCAAACCCAUUCUUCUGCUUGCCAGCAUCAACAAGGUCAUUAGUUCUCUUUGAGUCAAGCAUAGACAUGGAUGUAUUACCCAAAGAAGAAGCAAUCAAGGGAGCACCAUCACCAACGAGACCAGCUAAAUUAAUUACUUGUAGCAUGUCUGAUGACAUUUUCACCCAAGAUUCCUUUUCCAAGACCAUCUUAAGUGCCUGGAGAAACUAUUGUAAAUCAGCACUCUAUGCAACUAAAAGAAGCAAACUAGCGUUUUCCUUAAGUCAUUCAAAAACAAACCACAAUAGGUGACAAUAGAACAAAUUCAAAGAAAAUAUGACAUAUGCAAAAAAAACCUAAUCAGCUUAGAAUAUUCAACAAGAGACAAACAUAAUUAAUGUUGUCACAUGAGGUUCACAAUACCAUUGGUAAUGUAUGCUAUGAGCUAGGGUUUUUAAUUUCGAAUGAUACCGCCCGAUAGGGUUUUUAAUUUCGAAUGAUACCGCCCGUAUCCGGCGGUACAUAUUGGUCCGCCAACAGACCGGUACGCGGACCGCCCGCUACCGGGCGGUACCAUCGAUUGGGGCUGUUUCCGCCCCGUUACCACCCGAAAUUGGUCGAUGACGGUCGAUUUUGACCGUCGCCGCAUGCUACCGGGCGGUAUUAGUCGAGGGAGAAGGAAGAAGCGGAAGAAGAAGAGGGAGAAGAAAAGGGAGAACCUAGAGAUCCGAUGUCGCUCUCCUUUAACGAUCCCGAUCCGUCGCCACCCUCCCUCGACGGAUGUUGUAGAUGAGAUGCCGCCUCCUCCUAGUCUGAGGUGACGAGACCUCGGCAUCGUUGGCGACUUCUCCUAAUCUGCGAGGGGAGAAGAAGCCUCAGCGUGGGGAGAAGAAACCUCGACGACGUUGUCGAGGCUUCGAGGUUUUCUUCGCCCCACGCAAGGAGAAGAAACGACGCGACGUUGCCUCGACGAUGUCGCCCCUUUUUUUAAAUUUUGAACUUUUAUUUUUUUAACACACACACACACACACACACACACACACACACACACACACACACAUAUAUAUAUAUAUAUAUAUAUAUAUAGUACNNNNNNNNNNNNNNNNNNNNUUUAACUACACACACACACACACACACACACACACACACACACACACACAUAUAUAUAUAUAUAUAUAUAUAUAUAUCGAGCAGUAUGUCAAAGUGUACCGCUUGGUAUACUCGUACCAUACCGUACCGAGCUGAACUCGAAACUCCGGUACAGUACAAAAUUACACACCUUGCUAUGAGCAAUAUUUACUGGUUCAACAACCUAUCAAUACAUGGACCAAGGUAAACUACAUGAUAUGCUCAGUCCAGGACUUGUACCACCCAAUAUGCCAAAUGCAGGUUAUAAGGAAGGGCCUAUACCAUCUGGUACAGGACAUGACAAGCCCUACACCAGGCAAUUUCUUUUUUUUUCUGGUAUUUUCAAUACUUCUCUGAAACUCGAAACUCUCGAUAUUUUUCGUACCUGUCCAAACCCUGACCAAUACAAAAUUACAAACCUUGAUGGGAAGAGAAACAUAUUCUAAGGAUUGAUAACUAUACAUACAAUAAACAAACAUUCUAGCUCCUAGAUACAAGCAACAACUUGAAUUUGAGAAGUACUCCUCACAUACUUCCCAUAAACCUCAAGGAUUUCCAUUAUGAUAAUAAAUUCAGAAAUUGUCAUGUUUCUCAGAUACCUACAUAGAGACUUCUGAUUAUGGACAAGAUCAGUGACUGACAACAGGGCAGAAACGUGCAUCAACAUAUAGAGCAUCAUAUCAUGAUCAGUUAGAUUUAGGAUAGUCAUCUUAGUUUCUUCAUGCUAUAUUUCCUUUUUUUGGAGCAUUUAGAUGCUUCUGGAUGAAUUAGCUAUAUCAUGCCCAUUUAAAUGUUAUUGGCAUACUUAACACAGUCAAUAGUUAUAUACCUCUUAAUUAAUAACCAAGGCCAUAUGUAAUCAUAAAACCAGCUAAAAUGCCGUUAGCUCCUGCCUUCAGAAAUUCUGAUCAUUAAAAAAAAAAUCAUAAAAUGCAUACGAUUGGAGAGCAUUGGAGUAGGAUUGUUAGAUAGGAUGGCAUCAUAAUCCUACAUGAGCACCUAUCCAUCAUUCUAUGCAUACAUGCUUGGCAGGCACAAGGCCUUUAAGUUCUCAUAUUCACAGCAGAAAUUGCUAGUGAGCUCCCUAGAUUACUUGCAGUUUUAUGCAUGGGCCUGAGAUCCUUCAGUCCAUUUUCCACUGUUUUCAAAAAUAGUGACCUAGAAAGAAGUUUUAGACAGGAACAAGAAAUUACUAUCAAAAGAAGAAUUUUCACAUUGAGAAAGGAUGCUCUUAGUGAUAAAUUUUUCUUUGUUUAAAAGAUGUUACUCUUGAGUAGCUUUGCCAUGUUAGGUCUACUCUAGUAAAUAGAAAGAGGGCUACAUCUGGAAACUACUUCGAAGGCUAGGAUAUAUUAAAAAAAAAAUCAUAAAAUCAUAUUGCUAUUGAUACAUCUCAAACACCAGUUUUGUGUCAAACAUAUGCUUAUUGUCAUUCAAACUCUAGAAAGAUUUUACAUGUUAUUAAAUAGAGCAGGGAACAGAUAUCAGCAGCAGGGCACAGAUAUCAGCCCGGAUUGAACAAGGUGGUCCAAUAAGGACAAAUUUAAGUAUGACACUAAAUGGUAUAGAUGCUCAACCAUGAAUACUUCAACCAUGCAUGGGUCACAUGUUAUACUACAUGAGUUCGGAAAAACUCAACCAUGGAAAUGUAGCCAAACCCAAGCCAAACAAAUUACAGUGUUUAAGUGUUUUUUGCCAAUAACUAUUGUUCUGUCUGAGAGAUGAGAUGCAGAAAACCAAGUCUUAGUUCAAUUGGCAUAAAAAGUGCUUGACAACCAAACCAACUGUUUGCUAUGUUGAGCUUGACCAAGAACUAAUCUGGCCCUUGAAACUAAAUCUAACUGUUUCUCAACACCCUAAAUUCCUCUCUGCUGCACAUAUGACCUGGUCCAGGCCACAAUGACCUUGAAUGAAUGGUUACAAGACACUGAAGGAAGAAGGGCAGUCCAGAAAAGAGGCCGUAGUGGUAGGAACUUCCAAAUAUUUAUAUCCUUGUCCCUUUUUCCUUGUCAAUAUUUGUCCUGUGAACACCAUUGUUAUACUGUGUGUCAACCACCGAGCCCCAUUGUGACAAGAACAUCCUGCAAAUGAAUAAUUCCCAACCAUUUGCCAUCAGCUACAUGAAGACUUUCCUACCAGUAUGUCAGAUGAUAUCAGAUUUGACUAACCUAUCUACUGGUCUCCAAUAUUCUACCUGUAAAAAUAAAGUAAUUGGUCCUUGUCCUUAGCAGAAAAAGCCCAUAAGCUAGGAGUUCCCUGAGGCGGCAGAUAAAAUUCCUUUAUUCACAACUGAAGGACAGAGCAUAAACCCCGAUAUCCAGUUCCACCACCCAUGACAUAGAGACAGUUUUUGGGGUACACAGGCGUUUCAAAGCUUAAGAACAAAAAUGUUUUUUUAUCUUUAGGAGAGCCAGGAGGAGGAAGGGCAGCUAAUUUCAUUUCACGACUGCCAGAGGAGACUCUCAAACCAAGAAUUAGAAUAGAGCUGUAAAGAGGAAAAGAGCAGCAAAGAAAAAGGGGUUUAACUACUGUGAGCUCCUUCAAUAGCAAUAACACCAUUUUGGCAUCAGCUAAAUGUAUAAUUUAUUAAUGUUGAGGCCGUUCAAGAGCAAUAUCACCAGUUAUUAGUGCUCAUCAAUUCUAUUGUUUGUAACAAAACCCUCUAUACUCUUCCUUUCCUAUCCUACCACCACCAAUAUAUUAACUUAUACUUCACCCUCACAUCUGUGGAUGUCCAAUAAAUGAUUUUUGCUCAUGCCCAUUACAAUUCAUUCAUAGAAAGUUUUUCUUAUUGUCAAUUUAGGCUGGUAGAAUUUGGUUAUCAAAACAAGGCCCUUUGAACCAGUAUAAGUGGAAUGAUAUCAGAAUUUAUUUUUGCAGGCAGCUAGAGCCUAUCCCAAGACAAAUUCCAAUGUUAGAUUUAGACAUGUCUUGUUAGAUUUAUUGUUCAUCUUGUCCAAGAUCUCUUCUAAUUGCAUUGCCUCCUCAGCAUUGUGGAAUCCAACAACUGCCAUCACACUCAUAUAAUGGAAGGCCUUAAAGGUGAUGAAACAAAUUGGAGAGAAGAUACACAGGAAAUUACUGCAGUGAUUGACACAAACAACAACACUAGACACGCUGUGGUGUCAUGGUAAGAUUGCUCCCAAGGUUAUGGAUCUCUAAUUUACUGACUGCAUACUGCUGACCCAUGUUGCCUGGUACUAACCAAUAAAAAGUGUUAUAUCAAUUGGUAAAAUGUAGUUCGAUCUGAUCCUUUGUCAAACUGGUAAAUACCAAUUAAUAACUGCUAUUUACUGGUAUUUGAAACUUUGUUGGUCCUUUGCAAUCCAAGUUUCUAAGGUUCGAAUAACAGAAAUAGUCUUUCUACUUGCAAGGAUAAUCUUGCAUACCUUGACACUCCCCAAACCAUGCAUUAUCGAGUCUUGUCCACCAGGAAACCCUUCUUGGCUUCAUAUUGUUGCAAACCAUGCAAGAACUAAAACAAAAUAAGACUAUCAUACUAGAAUUUAUUUAGCUUUAUUGUGACUUAAAAUACUAGAAUUGUGUAAGUUCCAGAAAAAAAACACUUUAAUCUGCUAUAUUUUCUUUAGCAUGACAUUUUACCAAUGAACUCAGAAUAUCCAAAAAAAAAGGAAAAGAUGCUAACACACGGAACUGAAUGCAUAUUACUACUUGUACAUCUAAACCAAUUAUGAAUAGCACUUACAAGACUGGAAAAUUUGAAUAAGCUAGGUAUUUAACAAGAUUUAAUAGUUUUAUGAAAGAAUAUUAAACGAACUAAAUACUAGUGUAGUGUUACAUACAUACACAUUUUGACGGUGAAAGGAUGCCAGAUAACUUUCACAGGUAGUUUUCAACUUCUGCCUGAACUCAACAGCUUUAGCUCCACAGAAUGCUUCACCAGCUAAGAUAAAUAUGUUGAGAUCUUCAUAGUUUCUCAAGAAUUGGUAAGUGCUAGUUGAGCAAAUAGCAGAGGAAGACAGCAAGACAGAGACACGACUUGAUGUAAGUUGCCACACAUUUCUUCUCCCUCUUUCUAAUGUGUGUGCCACAAAAGCUGUGGCAUCUUUUCUCAACUGAUAGAAGGGAGAAUUGCAGCCUGAAGUAGCACCAUCAGCAUCACUUGCUUCAGCUGAUAAUCCACAAUAACUUUGGGGCAUUGUUACUGGAUCUUCAGUUAUCUUAUGUGGUACAUCAUAUCCAUCCACCUGGUUAGAAGUAACAGAUGCACAUUCACUAUUCUCAAUUGAGUCAAUUGGAACACUGGUCACUGAAUCAACUAUGAUUCCUUUCAAGUCAUGAGAUGUGUUACUUUGCCUCAUGUCAAUAUUUCGAUUCUGGGAAUUUAAACGCUGGGAGAACAGGGGGAAACUUAACUAUGAUGGAAUUGUAAAAGUAAAGCCUCAAUAUAUUUUAAAAUUUGAUAAUUAAACUUCAAGGCUGCAUAGCAGUUUUCCAAUAGGUAACUGGAACUAAAAGGCAUAUGAAAAUAAUACAAGAAAACAAUUAACAUUGUUACAUUGGUGUAAGCAGAAAGAAACUAAAAGUUGAUGUACAAGAGAGAAAAUUGAAAAGUGAAAUCAUAUGUACUCUUAAGCAAUGACUGCUGUACCACCCGAAAUGGUACGAAAAGGGCGGCAUGUACCGAUCCGGGCAUGGGCCGGUACACGGAUCACCCCAGUUUUAGGUGGCUCAGUCCAGUUCAGUAAAAGUAAUAAAAAAAUUGAAAAAAAAACAGUGGGGCCCAUCCAACUCAUCAUUAAAAUAAGAAAAGAACUUAUAAUAGAAAUUCGGGCUCACAAACAUGAGCCUUCUUCUUGCAUUCUUCGCUGCUGCCAUUGCCGCUGUCGCUGAUUCGCUAUUGCUUUGUCGCUGCCAACGUCAUUGCUGCUGCGUUCCUUUUUCUUCCCAGGUACGCUCCCAUCUCCUCUCCCCCUCUUCAUCCUUCUUCCUUCUCCUCCUCCACAGCUUCUUUUCUUCCUUCUUUCUCCAUCGCUUCCUCUUCUUCGUUCCUUCCUCCUUCCUUCACUACCGCUUCCUCUUCUCUCUUUUUUUCUUCCUCUCCAAGACAUUGGUAUAUACUGGUAUACCAUGUGUCAGUGUAUCGGUACUGACUGAUACAUACUGGGAUCUCCGAAACAGGUCUAGUACCCGAAAUGGCAAUCCUUGCUCUUUAGAUUCAGCAGAAAAACUGAUGCAUAAAGGCUUCAACUCUCAAGUAUAUAAAAAGAAAUCAUGUCUUAUAUUACUCUUAGAUACUUAAUGUAUGACAGAAUAUUGAAAAGUGAAAUCAUACGUACUCAAACUUCAGUAUAAACAUAGCUGCAUAGAAGUUUCAAAUUCUGGUUAUGUUUUACAGAAUGAAAAUGGUUUAUCUUACUAUUAAAUACUUAUAAAAUUCAGAUCACUAAAAGAAUGUUUGUCAUUUCUCAGAACGGAAAGAAUACCAAAAUGUAGGUAUAUACCAUGUCAUGCUGGUCAGCACAUUCCUUGUGCCGGCCAGCGCAAGCCAAAAAUGGCUUGGGUAUUUCUCAACACAACAAGCAUGGCAAACCAUGCAGAAUGGAAUUGGAUAUCAUGAACUCAGAUUGAGCUGAAUCAUGGUAGUAUCCAUGUAACUAGUCUGAUACAACUAGUAAACAACAAACUGUAAUGUCCCAACCACGGCUUCGAACAGCAGUACUGCACAUCCAUCCUGAAGGACCAGUACUGCACACCUGGCCUCCCAGUACGAGACAUAUGGUCCAAAACUGAUUAGUAAUAUUUUUUAAUAUUUUUCAGGUGAUACCAGACAGGAUUGGUCUGUAUACUACCGGAUAUACAGAUCAGUAGAUUACCAAAGCUAGUAUCUGACUGAGCUUUAAAUCCUUGGUCGACUCUAAACUACUUUUGAGUCAGCUAAAUGGAUCUUUUUCCACCAUUUUACUCAAUUUAAGAUAAAAUCACCAGUCAAAGUGAGAGCAAUCAAAUUUCUUUUUGUUGUUUCAGUGAAUUUUUCUUGGAUCUUCCUCAAAGUUCAUGUAACCAGCUUAAACAACUAAUAACCAGGGGAUCAAUAGAUUUCCCAUGUACAUGAACAUACUACCUUAAAUGGUUUCUCUUAUUUUGUCUACUUUUAGAGUUAAUAUCUAUUCAUGAAUUAAUAUCUCAAUCUAGUGUUGACGGAUGUGCCAACAGUUUAUACAAUUUUGGUUGGUACCACCUAGAUACUGGAGAGAGGAGUGGGGGAGGGUACGGGAGCCUAAAGAAAAAGAGGAAUGAUAGAAAAAUAAAAACAGCUAAGCCUGUGACAAUCAUCAAAAAAUUGAAAAAUAUAUCAGUACUAGAUGGUAGGCUUAUCAUCCAGGGACGAGAAGGCAGAUGAAGAGGAAGUGUGAGGAGGUGGCAGUGACAAUGUGAUGCCAAGUGUGUCCUAAUUAGUUGUGGGACCAGUAAAUAUCAACAUGUAACAAUUUGUGCAGGUGGUUUAAGGGGGCAACAAACAAUACAAAAGUAUAAAACUAUUAUGCCCUAUAUUUUAACAAUUUUUCAGUUUGCACAAACUAUAUAUUGUGUUAAUUGAUCUCUCCUUCGGAGUAAAUUAUUCAAGAUAUGUAAAACACUUGUUUUACAAAAUAGAAGGUGCUAACUAGGUGACCUAGGUGCUAUUGACCAUCUAGGCACUAGCCAAUCAUCCAAGUGGCCACCCAAUGAUAAAGGGUGCCUAGUUACUGCAAUCAAUGCAUGUGGCAUUAACAACAAUAGCUACAAUCAAUGCCAUUAAAAAACAGCAUGGACUGCCUUUGCUAUCGUAGCUAACACAAUUGGAAGAGCACCAUGAAGGUCAUUGCUAGCUUUGGCAACUGUAAUGAAGGCAACAAUAGCUGUUGGCAUCAUAAGAAAAUUAUAAGAGAGAAGUUCGUGUAGGACAGGGAAAAAACUUCAGUUUAGGAUGUCCAAGAAGCAUCACCACUAAUGUUUGACAUAUAACAUGUCCUCAAAUAUGGAGGAAUUAAUUGGGGGUUACAUGGUAAUGAAUUCUCGAGCAUUUAUGUGUGUUAGUCAUACCAUUAGAGUUUAAUUCAUUUACUUUGUUUAAUCACCCAUUUAAAUGCACCGCAUAGUCAUUGUCUAGGCAGUUGAAUGGCUGUCCAGUGCGAACUGUCUAAAUUAGUAGUCAUGGGGUAAACUAAGCAACCUCUAGGCUGUCUUAGUCUAGGUGUUGUCAAAUAAUUUCUCUAAAGUAUUUCCUAAAUCUUCUACUUCAAGCAACUUCUUAUUGCUAUUGUUCAAGGAGAUAAAAAUCACACUACUGAAUGUUAAUAAUUAAUAGAGUAUGGUUACAAAUGUGACACAUCUGAUUCCUUGAUACACUAUGAAGGUCAUCUCAUUGAAAUAGAAAACUAUAGCUUUUUUGGGUAGAAACCUGAAAAUCUUUUAAAAACCAAAUGCACAAGGUUUAAAGUAAUUGCAGCAAAAUAAGAACUUACUUUUCUUACCUUUUCUUCAGGCUGAAAGCUCAUGAUAGAGUAGUAUGAACACAUCAACCGAAAUAAGACAUCCAAAGUUCUCAACAAGCACUGACGAAAUCGAGAUUCAGGUAUUUGGAUGCAGAGGUCACUGUAAGUGAGUCUGGUAAAAGUAAACACAACUAGAUUAGAGAAACAAAGAAAAUUUUAUGUGAAUAGUACAACUUUUAUGACAUAAUUAACAUCAACAAGAAGGAAAAAAGCUUAGGGAACAGAUGAAUAUUAAAAUAUACAUUACUAAGGAUUAAGGAUGAGACAUAUAACAGUCAAAUAAUAAAACAAUUAAAUUCCAUUUAAACAAAAUUUUGCAUCAAUUACAAGUUAAAAGAUGAAAAUAUAUCAUCAAAAAGAACAUCCAACAAAGUUCUCCAACUUGAAGAAUACAGGAAAACAUAACUUGAUUUAAAAGAACAAAAGAAAGUUUGCCUUAGAAAAGAACCGAAGCAUCUGAACAUAGAUUGAGAAAAUGUAUAAAUUUAAAUUCUUAAUGAAGAGAGUAAAUGUGCAGUGUGACUGUACUGAAACUUCCAGAACUCAGAUGUUGUUUCUUUACAGAUAUGUCUAUCAACUUGCACAAUACAGGUGAACAAGUUAUUAUUUGAUAAGAAUUUCAAUUCUUUAUUGCCCAAGAAAAUUUGGUAUAAUAUUUACUACCAGGCAAUGCUUUAACAAGCUUUAAGAUACUAAACAAAACAAGGCAAAUCAGCAUGUGAACUCACACAGACAUGGUAGAAACUUUUUGCUGGUUGACAAUCAUGCAUCAAGCUUCAAGCAAACGCUAGUCGUACAUUCACUCAGAUGCAGUGUCUAUCCAUCAUAGAAUUAGCUAGAAUGGCAUAAGUCAUGAGAUACCCUUACAAUAUCAAUCUGAAAAGGGUUAGCCUAAGUGCAACGUUGCACAGGUCCCGAAGGACCUGCAAAAAGGUUGAUUAGUUUCAAAGAUGAGCAAUGGACAAGUCUCGAAUUCUCACUCAAAAACACAAAACUCAAGCAAUUUAGCAAAGAAUUGGAAUGCUAGGAGGAAACAGACUUUGGAAGGGAAAAACACAAUCACAAGCUCACAAACGAUAGCUCAACCGGGUAAUGGGGUAUUCAGCAAGCUUACACACAUUGUAUACAAGCUUGUGAAUCCAAAUAGGGCCCAUCACUAUCCCAGAGACCCAUCAAGCCUUGUGCCACCCAAGGGUUCUAGGAAAUUGAGAUGGUUGACAUUUUGGCCCCACCGCUAGCUUGAAGAAAUCAAACUGUGGCAUGCGAAAAAGGGAUUGUUUUGGCCCAUUUCAACUCUAUUCGAUGGUUGUUGUGGAGUCUAGUAGAUACUCUACACUUUAAAAAAAACCAAGGAAAAGCACACAAAGAUUAGGCAAAACACAAUGCCAAAUAAUUGCACAAGCAAACAUAAUUAAAGAGCAAUCUAUUUACGAAGGUGUUACGGGUGUGCGAUUGCGGUCUAUGACAUUCUCCCCCACUUAAUCUAUCAACAUCUUCGUUAAUGCUUGCUUGUAGGCCUUGACAAUUGCUUCUUCAUGUCGUCAAGCAUCUUCUAGCUCCUGAACAACUUAUGUUCUAGGAUGCUUUCACUACUUCACCAAGUACUCGAUCUGCUUCGUUCCGUUGGGUAACUUUGUCUUGCGAUCCACUAGAAUGACUUCAACUCACUUCUCAUAUAAUGAUCGGGUGAGGAUGGUCAAGUUGAGACAUUUCUAGAAGCAUCUUGUGAAUAUGACCGAUAGGCUUUCAAGUUAUUUGCAUGAAAUACAUUGUGAAUUUUAAGCCAUGCCGAAAGCUAUAAUUUGUAAGAGACAUUGCCUAUCCAACUAAUGAUUGGGAAGGACCCUUUGUAUUUGUGCACCAUUCCCUUUGUCCACUUUUUGCCUAAAGAACUCGAGAGAUGCUGCUUGGAGCUUCACAAGCACCAAGUCGUCAACCUUAAAUUCCGAUGAUCGUCUUUCCAAAUUUACCCACUUCUUCAUCUUUUUAGUCGUCUUCUCCAAUUAUACCUGUGAAAAAUCUAUCAUUCUUUUGCAAAGUGAUAUACUGACAAGCUACUUCCAGUAUAAUCGAUCAUCAAAGUGUGAGGAGUUGACGGUUGUUAUCCAAUAAUCAUCUCAAAGAAGCUAUUGUUUCACAUAGAGCUCCAUUGUAAGUAAUAAGAAAAUUGGGCUAUGUUUGAGAGCUUCACCCAAUCCCGUUGGAUGGCACUUACGUAGUGCCAAACGUAUUGCUCCAAGAGCUAGUUUAUUUAUUUAGUUUGGCCAUCCAUUUAAGGGUGGAGACUUGUGAAGUAUAACAUUGAUCCCAACAACUUAAACAGCUCGAUCCAAAACCAUCCCAAGAACCGGUCAUCAUGGUCACUUUUAAUGUUGUGCGGAACUCUCUAAUAUUUCAUCGCAUUCUUCAUCAUCAAUUUCACUGCCUCCUCCGCAGAGCAAUGUAGCGGUGAGCAACAAAUGUCACGUACUUCAAGAACCAAUCAACUACCACCAACAUCAACCCAUGUCCCCCUACCAUUGGCAAGCUCGAUAUGAAGCCCAAGAAAAUGCUCUCCCAUGACCACUGAUACAGGCAAGGGCUCCAAAAAAUCCAUCAGCUUCUAUUGCUCCACCUUGUUUUGCAGUGAGGCACGUGCGAACAUUUUCCUCCACAUCGAUCCCCAUUGUGGCCAAUAUAAGGACUUAUCCACAAGAGCUAAAAUUUAAUGUAUACUCGGGUGUCUCACCUAAAGGGAACCGUGAUACUCAUGAGUUCACGCCUUAAAUCAUCCACUCAUGGAACAUAUAUUCUAUUCCUUUUGGUAUAAAUGAGUCCUUCUCCGAUCCAAAGUCGUUAUGUCUGACCUUCUUUGAUCAAUUGCAUUAGGAUUAUUGCUUGGGGAUCCAUUCCUGAUCCUGAAAAGAAAGUGACCUUCGCCCUCACUUGACCUUCGCCCUCCAAUUGCACUGUAUUCACUAACUCCACCCUUCUUGUUGAAGGCAUCGACUGUGACAUUUGCUCGUUCAGGCUUGUACUCCAUUACCAUGUCAAAUACAAUUAGGAAGUCCUAUCGUCAUGCUUACUUUGGAGAGAGAUUCUUCUGAACCUAAAAGUAACUCAACACGAUAUUGUUUGUCCUUGGCACAAAUGGCGUGAAGUGCCUCUACACUCGUAAACAGUGAACCACUAUUGUGGUCUCCUUCUCGUACAUAGGAUACUUCCACUCUAUCUCACUAACCUUACGGCUCUUAUAGGCCACCGGGUGAACUUCUUGCAUAAGAACUCCUCCAAUAACGAAGUUCGAAGCAUAUAUGUGGACUUUGAAAGGUUUCCCAUAAUAUAGUAACCUGAGCACCAGUUCUUCUAACACAACUUUUAGGUCUUCGAAUGUUGCUUCAUAUUUUUCUAACCAUCGCCAAGGAUGCUCCUCCAGCAACUUCGUCAAUGGAGUUACGUGCUUCGAAUACCCCGGGAUAAAGCGCCAAUAAUAAUUGACGAAACGAAGGAUCUCAAUUCAAACACCUUCUUUGGUGUUCGCCACUCUAUCACAGCUUGGACCUUUGACUUGUCCAUUCAAAUCGAUCCUCCACCAACUCGGUGCCCUAAGAACUACCAUGCAAGGUAUAUAAUUUCGAAUAAUACCGUCCGGUACGGGCGGUACGUACCGGUCCGUCAGCUGACUAGUACACGGAUCGCCCGUUACCGGACGGAACGAUAUAUNNNNNNNNNNNNNNNNNNNNNNNNNNNNNNNNNNNNNNNNNNNNNNNNNNNNNNNNNNNNNNNACGUCGCCGAAUUUAUAUAUAUAUAUAUAUGAACGGUAUACCGCUCGGUAUACAGUAUCGUACCGAGCUAACGUCGAAACUCCGUUACGGUACGAAAUUGCAAACCUUGCUACCAUGCUCCUCUUAAGUGACCAACUUCUUGCUUGUCGUUCUAACAAUUAUCGUGCUCACCAUUCUAACUACCAAGCUCCUCUUGAGUGGCUUCAAUAGUUUAAGAGCAAAGAGCAAAUCUAACAAUUAUAAUCAUUUAGGGCUGUUGCCCCCCUUAUGCAACCUUGAUUCGCUAUGGUACUUCGUCAUGGCUAGUGCAUGAACUUCAUUAUUUCCUCAAAUUGUUUGCUCUGUUACCAGACAUCAUAGACUUAGUUGGAAUUGCCUAAGUCAUAGGUACCCUUGUGAUAUCUGUCCGUAAAGGGUCAACUAAAGUGCAACCUCGCACAGGUGUCAAAAGACAUGGAAAAAAAAAAGGUUGAUUAAUUUCAAAGAUGAGCGACGAAUAAGUCCCGAUGUCUCACUUGAUACUUGAGUAAUUCAACAAACAGUUGGAAUACAAGGUGCAGGGAGAAAACAAAGACUUUAGAAAGGAAAAAGAUAGCAGCAAAUCCACAAACAAUUGCUCAACCGGGUGUCAAGGUGUUCAACAAGCCUACGCUCAUUUUGUGUACAAGCUUGUGAAUCCAAAACUGGGCCCAACACUAUCAUAGAGCCCCAUCCAGCUCUUUGUCACCUGAGGGUUCUAAUAUGCUGAGAUGGCUGAUGUUUCCGUCUUGCCAGCUUGAAAAAAUUAGGACAUGACACACAAAAAGGGGAUUGUUUUGGCCCAAUCUACUAUGUUUGACAAGCAAUCGCGGUGCAACCUACAAGACUAUCUGGGCUUACAAAAGCUAGGAAAAACACACAAAACUAGACAAUAUAUGGUGUCAAAUAGUUGUACAAGCAAACAUAAGCAAUGAACGCAAACGCACGAUGGCAGUCCAUGAAAUAUCAGAACACUUUGAACCAAGGACAAUACCAAAUUUGUUAUCUUUUUCAGUAAUACCAAUAUGAAAAGGAGUCAAAGUCAAUAUUAAACCAAAAUUUUAAACCUUGGCUUGAAUAAUAAAGCUCAGCUUGGCAUGAAAUAAUGGAAAACAAAACCUUGAAUUAUAAAAAAGAACUAAGUGUGGCACAACUCUAAUAAGCUGAUCUUGCCAUUUCAUUCAUUCAAUAAAGUAUAUCUUGUAUAACUGGUCAAACCCAUUGAAUAGAUUUAGUAAAUAUACAUAGUAAGACAGAAUUGCUGUUUGAAGCUUGAGGGCCACAAUAUGGUAUCAAGUAAAUUUCAGUAUACAUCACAAUAAAUUAGAAUGAAUGCAGGAAUAUUUAAGAAACAUUGGUGCUUUCAUAUAAUAAUUUGUUUUGCAAAGAAUGUAUGCAGAAACUAGAAUUAUGGAUUAAAUCCAAAUUUUGCUCUACAAGACAUCUAGAGAGUUUACAUUCAGUUUUACUCGGUACAUCUAUUGACCACCUUCUCAUACAAUCCUCACUGGAUACCAAAAUCUAGCUUUCCCCACUUUGUAAUAAUCACAAAAACAAAAGAGCGAGAGACAGAAAUUUAAUGCAGCAUAUACAAGUAACAAGAAAGUAGACAGUGACAUCAUGGCUUUGCAGAGGAUAAUGCUAAAUCUGAUACCUUAUAUGCACCAACAACUCAAUAAGUAAAAGACUGCAGUAUUAUCUCCAUUAUCACUUGUAACUACAAUGUAUUUGUGCAUAGUGAUUACUUUUGACAAGGAAUUAACAGGCACAAAGUACCAGUCCAACACUGAUAAAGCAAGAAGGUUCCAGUCUUUAUGCUUUCAAUAUCUUAAAGACCACCAAGAAUAAACACCAUAUAGAUGCAGAACUCAAAAACAGAUGGACAUUAUGGGAGUAGUCGUUCCUUGAUGUCCAUCAGGAAUGAUAUUAUGCAACAAAAAGAAAAAGAAAUUUAAGCCCAAAAGACGCACCUACUCGUCUGUGUAAGAUUUCCAAUUUCCUGCCAUGUGAUAGAAGCUAAUUAGCAACUGGUGAUGGAAAGGAAAAUGAUCUUGAAAAUGGAAAAUGUUUGGGCUACCAACUAAUCCAACAGGGAAAAACAAGACGGUGAACUAACACCAGAGAAAGAUAUAGAUAACCAAUACUCCUUAAUUAAGCCGACAGUAAGUAAGAAACAAGAUAGUGAGUGCAAAAAAUUCACAGUUGCCGAAACUAACAACUAAAAGGGUAUAGAAACAAGAUGCGCAAAAAAAUCACAGUUGCUGAUACUAACAACUAAAGAAUACCCUUUCAAAUAUAGCAAGUGUUAGUCAUGUGAUAUGCCACUUUAAGAUUUAUAAUGUAGGUUAGACUUAAAAAACCAUUUUCAUAAAAGAAUAGACUAUUAGACUUAAAAAUCAUUUUCAUAAAAGAAUAGACUAAAUAGUUACAACUUUGAAAAUUCUAAAAAAAUAACAAAAAAUGUUUCACCAUUAGUGUAGAGUAGCAUGUUAAUGAGCGAGUUUAAGAUUUUUGAGACAAGAAUAUAUCUCUUGUUGUGGAACCGUACACCAUAGCUGUAUUUGCCCGAACUAUAACCUCGCUAAUUCACAUAGCAUAUAAUGAACAUAUGGACAGUAUAUAUGACUUAAAUUUAUCUACCUACUGAUAAAGUUGUAGCAUUUUGGAGCCAUGGACACACUUCCUCCAUACAAGCUAUAAAGCUAGUAUGUCACUUGGGCCAAGACAAAUGAUAUCGACCACCACAUGGGUUCAUCUAUGUCAGCUAACAUGCUUUGUAACAAGUUGAUAUUCUAAGUGUAGUUACCCUUGGCCAGCCAGUAGAACAACAAUCCUCAUAACCUAAGUAAUUUACUCAUCAAAUACCACAUGGUAGACAGGUGGUACCAUAUGGAAGUACACCCACUCAGUUCUUAACAUUAUCAGCAAGUUACCAUGCCUAGAAUUCUAAGAUCAGAUGUGGGACAUUAACCAGGUCCAGAAUCAUCUUUCACCAUGCCACUGUUUGUAUCCUCAAUGGUCUUAGUCCCUGCUUCAAAUGGAGGAUAAACACACCAAAUUUUAAUUUAACACAUGAGAAGUUAAAUAUACCAAUUCAUGAAUUUAGAAUUACCUAUCUUGUGACCAUUGAGCAUCAGGUGAACAAACACAAUAUAUUAAGUUUUAGUCCUUCAUUAUUUUCACAUAUUGGAUUAACACAUCUGUUAUGGAGAAACAAUGCAAUAAACAAAAACCUAAAUCAUUUACCAUCUACUAUCAUCCUCUAUAGACUUCCAAACCAGGGAAUACAACAAGAUUUCUCUAUAGUUGUACAAGCAGAAUUUGCAAAUUUGAUGAUGCAAACUUUUACACAAAGCAAGCAGACUUUUAGUCUCUAUAAGCUAAUCCUUCAUCUGAAAAUUUUCAAUAAUGUGGAAGGGAUACCUAAUGUUUGAAAAUACGUGAAAAGAUCCUCAUAUUACUCAAGCUAAAUCACUAGAGAUCUUAUGAUAAAGCUACGACACACAUUAAUUAUACAAAAAAACAGAAAUAUAAUUAAGCAUGUUUCAAAUAUCAAAUGAUAUGGUGCACACCAAUUGCCACAUGCUGGCCCAACCAAGAACCAGAAAUGGUUAUACACUUAUACCGAUUGGCAUUAUUUUUUCUUAUUUUUUAGGUGAAACUGAGUGGUACAAAUCAAUAUACUACAUGAUAUACUGGUACCAUAUCAAUAUGGUUGAUCACUGAAACCAGUAUCUGACUGAGAUUUAAAUUCUCAAAAUUAAGAAUAUAUUCAAACCACCAAAUUAAUCAUAGAGCAUAUAGAAUGAUGAUAAAAAGAGAAAUUAUUUCCUAGAAUUGUAGCAUUUCUUUAUAUGAUCAAAUGUUGGGUGCCCAAGAAACUGUUAAAAUGGCAAAAGAUUACAAGCCAUUUAUGAAUGUUAAUGUCACUUGAUGACUUAACAGAAAAUUUUAGUUCUCUAUAAAUGUAAGAAAUAGGAAAGACAAUCAAAAGUAUUCAAAAGCAUUUUAUGUAUAAAUAAUUUAAAGAAAAAGCAAAAUGCAUAAAAAACUGUUGCCAGCAGCAAGCUCCAGAGAGCAUUAAUCAUGCAAUAACACAGAAAAUAUUAGUAUUUGUAAUUUUGUAUAUCCUAGAAAAGCAAGAUAUUGAAUUUUACAUAAUUAGGAGUCUAGGACUACACUUAUCUGCAUUUGAUAUAAUGAGUCAAAUGUUUAUUGAAAUUACAACAUUGAAAAAUAUGGAUUGCUUCUGUCAUGUAAUAUAUACAAAGAUAUAUUAUAGUUCAAUAACCAAAGUGGAAAGAAAGGCUUGGAAAACAUGAUAAAUUGAAACUAGAUUACCUCAUACACCAUAGCUUUCAACACAGAAUGUGUUUGAGAUAGAACUUCUUGCAUAAAGAAACUCUGAAUUUUCUCAGCAAGACCAGUGACAUCUCCCAUCAAGGCAUAGGCAUCAAUUGCCUACAGAAUAUUAAACUCUUAGGAUUUGUGGAAAACCAAAUAAAGCCUAAACAAACAAACAAAAACCCACUUGGUAGGCCAUAAAUUUGAGAUAAAUACAAGUAAAAUAGUUGUGAUACUAUAAGACCACCAAAAGGAGACUUUUCUUUGGUAAGUAUAAAAAGUCAAAAAGGAAUCUAGCACAAGUUCAUGCAGAAAACUCAACAUCACUAAUAACAAAAGGAUUUAAGCUUUUGACAAUUAUAGAUCAUGACCAUUGCUAGAGUAAGAAGAGAAAGAAAGAUAAUUAUUGAUGCAUUAUGGGGCACGAAAAUGGCUUGCAACAACAUAUAGAAACUAGCAAAGAUGUCAAUUAUUAAUAAUGUGAAGUUAUGGUAAAGCAUCAAGGUCAGCAUAUAUAUACAUAUAUAUAUAGUUGGCUGGAUUGUACAUAUCUGAUGUAGCAGGGUUGUGUGUAUAUAUAUAUAAUUCUAAUUAUUCUCUCAAUUUUUUUAUUUUCUGAAACAAUUUUCUCUCUAACAUUUUAUUGCUGCUUAUAUAUGCCAAUUCACUAUGUUGCUACAACAUGGAGCAACAUAAAUAAUUAAAGAAACAGUGUACUUAGGUUUGGUUAGAAAGUCACAUGUAAUAUAAUUCUUCUAACAGAAAAGAGUAACUGAUGUUCAAAAGUAGGAUAUAUGACUAAAUGAUGAUACCAGUGUUACAAGUGUUACUUGUAUUUUCUUGUUUUACAAGGGAUAAUCUGUAAAAGAACUUGUAGCAAAUGCAAAGAUACAUAGCUGAGCUGCUGGAAUAAAAAAAUCCCAAAGUAGCAAUUAAACAAAAAAAUGAUGAACUUUGCUAUCAACAGAUGAGGAUACUAACAACUAUGUAGCUUUCCUCCUCAAAUGUCUUGCAAACACCUAGUAAAUGUGAAUCUAGCUUUUGAAUUGUCCUUGCUAGCCAGGCCUGCAGAAAUGGUAGGAUUGAUAUGCCAAAUUAGCACAACAUCAAUAAAAAGAAGUAACAAGUUCUUAUAGAAGUAGAACUCCAUUACUACCAGAAUUUGAGACUAAAAAGGAGACCAUGUUCUGUAAAGCUGUACUGUUAAUGUUUCCAAAAUAUCAAUUGAUUUUAAAAUAUGAAAGGGUAAACAUAAUUAACCAGAUCAUCUCUUGCAAUCUUUUUUGGCUUCCUACUCCUAAGCAUACAUAAUACUUAUUAGCUUGUUACGAAAUCACAAAUGUGAAGUCUCUAUCCACAAAGGAAGUUGACUCCAAUUUCUGACAUCGCAAAAGGAUCUACCAUGGCAGUAUGGUGGUACUUUGAUGUUACAUGUCUGCUUCCAAAUAAAUAUCUAAUGUUCUUAACAUCCUCCCUUUAGUUAGUAGAUGUUUAAUCACUAUGCUGAAAGACCAAGGGAAGUGCUUCUCAAACUUAUCGUUUGUCAUGACUUAUUUUCAUAAGUUACCAAAGAAUUUCUUUUGUUGCAAAAUUUUAAAUCUGUACUAUUCAGAAAAGCCAAUUCCAUGUUUGUUACUACCACCCAGAUUCUUCUUUCAUGUCAGUGAAAUGAAUUAAUCAAUUCUUCUUCACAUUGACCAAGCAUUGAAUUCUUUUGAGCCCCUAUCCCAAAAGAAAAAGAACUGGCAAAACAGUUUAUCCAACAAGUCAAAUGAGGAAUUUGUUUAUAAGCUUCUUGCUGAAGAAAACUGACCUCUAUUCCACGACCCAUCUCUUGAAUAACAGAAAGCUGUGCAUAAUUAUCUAAAACUUGCAAAUACUCCGGUAACAACUGAAACGCCUGUAACAGGACAUUGGCCAGAAUUAGAAAAAGCCCACCAAAAGUACCACAGUGGAAAACAUGGAUUUUCCAAACAACCUGGCAGUAUUUUCCAUUUUCAACAAGAGUCUCAAGCUCCAUUUGGAUGUCUAAUGAAUGACGAAGUUCUGUAAGAAUUGGAAGCAUGUCCUGCCACAUGUACGAAACCAAGGAUUGCUUAGUUAUACACACAAUGUUAAGCAAACUGAAACUUUAUCUAAAAUUGAUCAGAAUACCAGUUCUCAAAAGAUUAUUUUAAUGUAUUUGGUUAAACUAAAUGGAUAAACAAUUUUCAUUGGCUACUCUAUUUAGACAAAAAAGAGAGAAAUGUCAAGGGAGAAUACAGCAACAUUUUCUUUACAAAGUAGCAUAAUUUCAGACACUGAAACAGACUAAAAAUUAAAUCUGAGAAUAACUCCAAGCAUAUCUACAAAUGGGCACAUGACACACUCGUUUGAGACCCAGGCACUGCCAGUGAGGGUCAUCAGUUUUGACUUAAAGACAGAUAUUUUUUUGGCAUGACCAGUAGGCAGAUAAAUGAAAUCAGAGAGGACUUGCAUGGCCAUAUCUCCAUUUGAGCAUCAGGCAAUUGACUACUCCACUUGGUUGUGUGGUCCACAGUCAGAACUUACACCACAACAAAAGAAAACAUUUUGAUGUGUUGAUCCACCAACAUAAUGUAUAGCUUGUAAGGAUCCAAUGGAUAAAUAGCAACAGAUUUGAACAGAAAAAAAAAUGGUUGGCCAACAAACAGUAUCUUAAAAUGACACACAAUAAGAAUAUAGGUUACAUGACCAGCAAGGAAUGUUUCUUCCCCAAGUUACAAUCAGUCAAGGUUUGCAAUACCAUCCUGUACAGAACAUUAUGGGUGAAACUUAACAGUCUGAUAGAUACUCGGACCAAGAUAAUCCAGAGGGUAUGCCCAGUAGAAAAAAGGUGCAGGUGAGUUUUUUUUUUUUUAACUUUUUCGGGAACUUGGUAUAUCCCAAUGUACCGACACUUAGUGCACAGGCAUCAAUAAGGGACCUGUUCGAGCCAUGACCAGUACAAUCCUGGUAUACAAAAUUGCAAACCUUGCAAUGACUUAUGCUCAUCUAACUUUAAAGUGCAUAAGAUAUAAUUAGAAAAUUUCUAAAGAAAAAUGUGACUUGAGGCAUGCUUUGAAGAAUUAGGGGAGUUAUGUAUGGUGGAAAUACCGAUAGAUAAUUGGAAUGCAAAGAUUCUAAAACUAGCCUUAAGAAGUCCAACAUACAUAGUUUCCAACAUACUAAAAUCAAUUAUAAAAAUCAACUAAACAUAUCAUGAAACAGAUGUGACCAGUAAAAUCAAUUAUAAAAAUAUUCUAAAAUCAAUUAUAAAAAUCAGCUAAAAUCAAUUAUAAAAAUCAAUUAAAAUCAAGAUAGGAGAUGUGAUCAGCAACAAAAAGAAAUUACAUCUUCUAGGACUGUAGCUCUAAUCAUGAUGGUGAAGCUUUAUCAACAAGCUCAACAAACAUAUCACGGAAAUUAUCAGUUUUGAUUUUGUUCAAGGGUAGGAGAAUUUCAAACAAUUGAUACUUGUAUCCAAGGAUUAAAGUUUCAAGCUGUAUCAGUUGGUGGUAUAACUUCUCUUAUGGAUAUCAAUGCCCAAACCACAGAUACCAUAUGUGCUAACUUUUCCUGCUUUUCAAAGAAAUGGAAACAGAUGCAUGAUAAAUAAACAAAGUAGCUUAUUACAUCCCAUUUAUAUGUUUGCACCCUCUACAAUCUCAAGCCCCAAGUCCUCCUUCCUGAACCCAAGCCUGAAGCUAUGAGAAAGAUUGUUGAAUUUCCAACCUCACUCAUCCAAGUCCUUUACAACUCAUCAGAGAAUAGAAAGCAGUGAAUGAUUUCUUAAUAUGAUUUUCCUCUCUUUUAACUGAAGUUUUUCCACAGAACAAGAAAAAUUCUUGGUUUUUUUUUUCAUUUUUUCCUAUUUUCCUCCAUAUCCAUGGAAGUUGGUUAAUAACAGAUGCCACAAAUGUAAAUUAAAACUAAAACUUGUGAUGCCAAAUGAUCCAAAUAGUUCUUGUGGAAAAUAAUAUAAAAAUGGAAUACAAUUCAAAUAAGCCAAAAGUUCCAAGCAAAACAAAAAAAUAGUAUGUCUUUGUUAGUGAGCGACAACUAUGCCAACAAAAGUUUGUAGGAGGAGCAACUUAUGCUGAGAUCAGAUACCAGUAAAGCUUGUUUCUUUCUUGACUUUUUAUUGACUACAAGAUCCCUUGAGACUUCAUUUAUUGAUGAGGUCAAGUGCCUUCGCCCAUUCUGUAAGAUUGAGCAAUCAGGUAAUCAUGAUGAUUAAUAUUUUAGAGGAUCAAAACAGUGAAAAAGCUACUGAAAGAAGUAACAAUUUGUUUAAUUUAUAAAGUUACCAUGCAGAUGACAUUUGCCACUUUUAAAUCUUGCUCCAGCUCCAUCACUAAUUGCAUCCCCUUCACUGACCAAAGAAGCAUCAAAAAGUUCAAACUUGAACAGCAAUACUAUGUUAUGGUGAAAUAAUUAUCAUUCUAAGCCAAUACCCAAUAACAAAUGAAAAGAAUGACAACAAUUGAAAGCAUGAUAUAGGUCACAGUUAUGUUUCAACCAAUAAUUAAAAAGAAGCGCAAAGAUUGAAAACACAAUUGAGAACAGUGAUUUAAAAAGCGCUAGGCGCCAAAAGACACCAGAGUCCAAAAAUGCUCGAGGCGCUAGGCGCUCGCCCGAGCAAAGCGAGGCGCUAAAAUAUAAAAAUAUAUAAUAUAAUUAAUAUAAUUAUUUAAAUAAAAAAUAUGUUAUUAAAUUAAGAAAAUCGAGUACAAAAUCACAAUGUCAUAUUAAUAAAAAGUCUCAAAAAUCAAAACAAUAAAAUUUUACAUCAAAUCUUUUGAGUUGCUCUAUACACUUGCCAUUUAUUUUAAAACCUAACAAUAAUUUUAAAUAAAUAAAAAUUAAUAAUAUUAAAAUUAAAAUAAUAUAUUAUUAAUCUAAUAAAUAAAAAUACUAUUAUUAGUAUACAGUUAGCAGUAUACUGUUAAUAUACUGUUAACAGUAUAGUGAGAAGAGUGUGAGAAGACCGAGGCUGCUAAGGCAACGACAGUGGUAGCGGGAGCGGGAGCGGCUAGCGAUAGUGGGAGUGGGAGCGAGAGCGGGAGCUGCGAGCAGCAGUGGGAGUGGGAGUGGGAGCUGCGAGCGGCGAGCGACGACAACAGCGAUGAGCGACGAUUGUGGCAGCGGCGAGUAGCGACAAUGGCAGCGACAGCGGCAGCAGAGAGCAACGACAACGGAGAAGAAAUCUCGACGGCAAAAUCGCGAGUGUUAGGGUUGGGGAAGUCGGGGAAAUCGUGAGAGGGAGCCUAUCGGUGAUUUAGUUGGUUCGAUUGAUCCAACUAAAGCACCGGAGACCGAACCAGACGUAAAACACUAGUUCGGUCGCCUAGUUUAACCCGGGCGCUCGCCCGAAGCGCCCGACGCCUGGGCUCGGGCGAGCGCCUAGGCGGUGCCUUGUUGAAGCGAGGCGCUUGGACAUGAAGCGAGGCGCUCGGGCCUCGCCUUGCCUCGCUCGAGCGCCUAGGCGAGCGCCCGAGCGCCUAUUGAAUAACUCUUCAUUUUUUUAGGUGCUGCUUGAGUUAUUAUUCACUUCCAAAAGAGCAUGGUGAUUUGUGCGAAAUCAUGAAAUAAGAAAAUUCCUUGACAGUUUUCUGCACUGCCCUCUCUACUUUUCCUAGGAACAAAUUGAGCCUCAAAAAACUUUAGGCUUUACUUAACACUGAAUUUGUGAGACCAAGGAAUUUGGAGGUCUAAAAGCUUGAACCCUGUAAACUUCAGUCAUGAACUUCUUAAUAAAUGAUGGUAGAAAGGCUCCAGAAUAUAGAAUGGCACUACACGGAAUUACAUAGAACAAGUGCCUAAUUUUAAAGAAGUCUCUGUAAGAAAUAAAAAAUGUGGUUUCGUUUAGACCAUAUCUACUCCAUGAAGAAGCUUUUCAAAAUGAAAAUGUGUUGGAAGGUAGUAGUCGAUUUUAAAACACCCCUAAAGAUAUCCAAGUCAUUUUCCAUCUGCAUGUGAUCACUCAUAAGGAAGUACUGAUUGUAAAAACUCCAAAGAAAUCAGUCUCAGGGACAACACAACUUUUCUCCAUUUAAUUAUAUCUUAGAAAUUUUCCGAAGGACCAAGAAUCUUCUUUUUUUUUAAUAACUUUCAACAAAAACCAAGGUCAUCAAUCUCGUGACAAAGGUCCAAAGAUAUAAAUGACCAUGGAAUCUUCAACAUUACCUUGAUCCUUUUGAGAACACCAUCUCACUCUUUUGCUAGAGCCAUGAUGAUAGAACUUAGGUAUCUUGUGGUCAGUGAUCAAUUAUAGACUUCACAAUGACAUUUCUUAUGAAGUUUGGAAAAAAUUCCAGAACUACAGUCUAGACAAUGUAGCUUCCAUAGCAUCAAGUCACCUUCUUAUCCAUCACAUCUAUGCCAACUCCAUCUGGCUAGCUAUUAAAGAAGAGUUACUUAAAACAAACAGAUUGACAUACCAGUAUAAAAUUGUGAAUAUACCUUAAACCAGGUUUUGAGUUACAACGUAUGUUUGCACAGGACAUGUGCCGCAAGUCUGUGGAAUCAGUGUGCACAACGACACCUGAUGAGGUUAGAAUGAUCCUUCUUGUUACUAAUUGAAAUAUUUGGUAAGAAAAAGAAAAGAGGGAUCUUCAGACCAAGAUAUACACGCAUGUUAAGUUAACGCUUGACUCGAAGUACAGAGGCUUUGUAUUCAGUCACCCAACUUGCCUAUAUUGCAUAUGCAAGCUACUUCUGUAGUCACAUUGACAGCAUUCUCAGGACAUAAAUGCAAAUUUGGAAAUACCAAAGCAUCUAUAUGCAAAGCAUUCCUUGAUUAUGAAAAUAUUAUUUAAAAAACCCAAUGUCCCUUGUUUUGUGAGGGCAUAACAAAACAACUUUCAUGAUCAGGGGGUCAAUAAUGUGCUUGCAAUAUUUCAUGUAACUAAUAGAAAAGUAUGGUUUGUGGUGUAUGUUGAAGGAAACCAAGAAUUUUAAAAACUGAUUGUAAAUAUCAGUAUGGACCACUAUUUACCGGUCUAAUGGUCAACCAGCAUGCAGACUAGGCAAUUUCACCUGGUCCAAUUCGAUAUAUGUCGUUUGCCUCAUAAGAUUACCUUAUCAUGCGUAUCAUCCAGUAAAGUAACUGGUACCAAGAUGUACCAAGAAAGGUUUUCAAUUUAGAGAACUGAACCCAUGACGGUCGUUGACUGGAGUGAAAUGGGUCUAGCCCAUUCUAGCGUACCGAGACACAGUAUGCCAGAACAGUACCACAGUAUAGAGAAGGUAGGAGGGGAGGAAAGGGGGAGGAGAUGAUGAGGAGGAAAAAGAUGUGGCGGCGAAGGAGGAAAAGAGGAGGAAAGGCAGCAGCAGAGAAGAAGAGAAGUGAAGGAGGCUUAUCCUCCUUCUUACUUCCCCUCGUAUUACUCCGUUUUCUCAUCCUCCUCCUCCUCACCCUCUGCAUGUGCAUCUGCCUCUGCAUCCUUGUUCUUCUCUUUCUCAACAGUGUUGUUGCUUCUCGUCUGCAUUGCUACCUCCUUCCCAUUGUAGCCACCUUCUCCCUACCAUCGAUGCCUCCACCCAAUGCAUAGCUCUCUCUUUGUCUGCUUGUAGUUCGAUCCGUAUCGACAUUUGGCAUCCUAUAUGGUAACGAUGCUAUACCAAUCCAACUAGAGUACCAGUAUCAAAUCAAGAUUUAACCCUUGGUUCUAAUGCAUGUGUCCACCAUAAGACCUAAAAGGAAAUAAGCUUAUUUAUUCAAAUUAUAGUGUGGCUACAAUGCAAUACAUCACAUAUCCUUUGAACUUUAUAAAGAAAGCUCACUACAAAGACAAAGACAUUCAGUUGAGUGGCUCUGUAUUUUAUUAGAAAAAGGCUCAUUGUUACUGUUGCUUGUUAGCCAUGUGCUCAGGAUCAGUUUAUCUUUUGAAGAAAUAUGUUAAAUUCUUUUUUUUCAAAAUAUCAUCAAUUAUCUUUGGCACCAAUGGACUCAAUACCGCUCAGACCAGUUCAUAAUGACUGGUACCCACCUGUCUGGGCAUGAACCAUAUGUGCACCACCCCUUUACAGAUGUUUCAGUCCAUUUUUCCUUUUGAAGACCUUGCAUUUAUGGCAGAUGACAAAAAACCUCUUCUCAUGCAUCACACUCAAGGGCCGCUUGCUACACCACCCCUCACCCACUGCCACCCGCCAUUACCUGACACAUCUUCUCCUCCUCCUCGCCCAUCCCUUCUCUCUCUUCUCCUCCUCCAUCUCCUCCUUUGCCUCCUCUCCUCCUUUCUUUCUCUUUCCCCCUUCCUCCUCCUCCUUUCCUUCUUCUCCUCCAUCUCUUCUGCCUCCUCUCCUUCUUCCUUCUUCCUCUUUCCCCCUUCCUCGUCCUAUCCCCCUCCCACGUGCUGUUGGGGACCCUCUCCACCUUCAACCGGCAAACAGACCAGGGUACCAUGUAUUGGUCCAGCCAUGGACUGGUAUCAGUCCACUACUCGAAAUUGAAUUCCCUGUUCUGCACAAGUUCAUUGUAAAAUUAUUAUUCCCCAUAUGUGUUCCAAUGGAUCCAAGGGACAUGUCAAAGCUUGUCCGUUGGACAUUGUUUGCAAUACCUAUCAACUUUUACAUUGCAUUGCUUGAGAAAAGAAUUGUUUGGUUUCACAAGAGGAAGUUUCUAUCAGAGGAAUCCUCAAAGAUCGUAGUUGUUUGGUUCUGCAAAUAUGAAAUUCAACUUUAGGUUUUAGUGUUAUAUCUAUAAAUAGAACUCUCGUACAAGAUGUAAUCUAAACCUGAUUCUGAAAUGAUUCCGAUGAACACAAAAGCCAAUGUAGCUGCCUAAUAAGUAAUACGACUGCCAAUAUCCUGGCCCAGUAUUAAAGAUACCCAUCAUUAAUUUUCCAGAAAGAAUUUCAACUGUACAAUAUAGAUUAUUAUUCAUAUCAGUAAUUGUGAAAUUUUGCUUCGGAUAUUUAUUUCUAUGAAAAUAAAAGAAUUUAUCACAGUUAAGAAAUCAAAUGGACAAAUCAAAAGAUAAUCAAACAAUAUAAACAAAAUUGGACAGUCUCUUAUGACAGACAGUACCCUUAAAUAUUAUAUAUUUCAGACAAGUAUAAUAAAAAGCACCAUUUUAAAAUAUCUGGCAAAUUUCCUUAAAUACAUAUAUAAGUUCAAGCAAAGACCAGCAUACUUUUUUAUCCUAAUUUACAGAUAAGAAACAUACCCAUCUCUUCAUGGUGCUCCAUCACAUGACGUGAUAAUCGCUCUGCUAUCUUAUCAAGUUGUGCCAAUCUAAGAGUGGACUGUGGUGUUGGCAAGAGAAAAAAGUGAGCUCCAGUCAGGAAAGCAGUCAUAAAAAUGUUCACAAAACAAAAUUGACGAACACUUUGUGCUAGGAAACACAUACUGAAAGGAAAUGCAUUCAGAAAAUAUAAGAGAAAUGAAAAUGAGCAUGGCAAAGCAGAAUCCAGUGACUUCUGUAGAGCUUAGAUAAUGAUAUUAUCAUAACUAAACAGAUUUGUGAAACUUACAGGGCUGUCAGUAUUGGCCUAGAAACAUAUAACAAAAGAUAAUAGAGAGAGAUCCAAUCUAGAAACCGGAAGUACACAAAAAUUCACAAAGAGCAAUGCAAGAUUAACAUGGUGAGUGGCAUCAUGAACUAACCAGCAAGUAUAAUAGUAACUUGACAAAUAUCUUUGGCAUAUAACAAAUAUGAAAAUCAAGCCUACUUAGUCUGUCAUCUGACCUUUUUAUCAAAGUAUGUAGAAUCGCUUUCUUCAGAUGGAACAUUUUCUAGUACAUACCUAACUGGAUCAAAAUCCUGCAAGAAACAUCAUCAAGCCGACUUCUUUAUUUGUCAUGAAAACAUAACUAGGAAGGAAACACUUGUGCAAGGAAUAAAUGACACCACCAGAAGUAAUAAAAUUAUUUAAAAAAUGCAGACAGUCACGGGAAAACAUCAUGAGUGAAACAAAUGCAUGGCCAUAUGCCAUUAGAAGAAUACAGCUUGAAGCAAAGAGAUUUAUCUAUAGAGGUGAAAUUAAAUGCUUAAGGUGGCCUAGUGUAUGAAGCUUCUGCUAUGCAUCGAACCACCAUAACAUGAACACACAAAAAGAGAGAGUAAUUCAUACAAUCAACACUAUUGCAAUAUAUAUUUGAACAAAUCAAUGAAUAAAUCACCAAUUUUGUGUGGGUCAAUAGUUAAAAAACAGCAUUGUUGCCUUGUACGUUAAUGGUCACUAAUUUUGAGCUUUUUGUAUGAGAGUAUUCGGUGCUGAUGCAGGAGAUAUUUUGUUCUAUUUUGUAUUUGGAAAGCUUUACGGGGAUUCUUGCAAAUGUUAUAAGUUGCCACAUGGCAACAUAUUAUGUGUGUCUAGUUAUCUGCCUAGAUUGCUCAGGGGAAAUAAAAGAGACCAAACUAAAAUGAAACAAGUCACCAAAAACAAAAGGAUUUUGAUGGAUAAUAUGUGCAAAGAUGGAAAUUGAUUAUGAUCGAAUAUUUUGUACAAGGGAAAGAUUGUAUGUCAAAAAAUUUGGAAGUAGAUCUCACCCACAAAAAGAAAGGUAGGUGACUCAUUAGACUUAUCAUAAGGAAUAAGAUUUUCAUGAUUGUACUUCAUUAGUUCUUUAGCCUUCUUUCUUUUCCUGUACUGGGGGAUCCAUAUGAAGGGGAAAAGGCUAUAAUCAAGAGGUGUGAAUAAGUAAUUUUCUAUUACAACAUUAUAUGCAAAGAGAUGUGAAGUCUUCACCACUAGGAGUGAUUCCUAGAGCUAGAGCGAACCUGACAUUAAUUUCUAUCAUCCAUGCAUGAGGAGCAUCUGAUGUGAGACAAAGAUCAAUGGAUGUGGACAUUCAGUAAUCAAAGUGAAUUCGAGUACUCUUUUCUCCACUCAUUUUUUCUCUUUUAAUUUUAUCAAUCCUACAAAUAAUAAGAAAAAAAAAUUCACUGUUCUCCAUGCUCAUCCUACAUUAUUGAUGGCUAAAAUGUCAUUAAAAAGAGCAAAACAAUAAAAUCUUGUAAAGGCCUAUUGAGGAACCUUAGAAAACUAUCAAGAAAAUGUUAUUUGGUUUGUCAGUUACAAGUAGACCAUGCAUGCUUCAGGAAUUAGUGCUUUUGAAGAUCUUACUUUGUCCCUUCAGAGUUUGUCUUUAUAAUGUAGUUCUCUUUUGUAGUUACUAUUUAGCUUCUCUCUUUCUCUUUUCUUCUAUCAUUCCUUUUUAUUUUGUGUAAACCUUGGAGUUUUUGUUGCUUUGCCUUCAAAAAGUUUUACAAAGUUACUUCUUUCUCUCAUUGUAUCCGCUAAUUUUAUGAAAUGUUAUAUUGUAAGCAACAAUUGAGGCUCUAAGUGGCAAAAAAAAUACCUGGAUCAAGCCAAGCAUUACCCAGGAAAGAAUACAGUCGACUUGGGCAAAUUUGGGCAACACCCCAGAUUAGCCUACCUUAAAAGGCCCAAUCCCUGCUUGACUUACUCUUUGGGCCGGGCUAGCCCAAUAAGACAAGGAAGUGAUUGCCAAAAGAAUUUGAAACAAGAAACAUAAAAAAUAUAGUUUACAAUCACAUCAUGCUAUUAAUAAAGUUCUUAGCAUUUUCAUCAUGUUUUUACAUAAAACUCAAGAUUUAACAAAAGGUCAGACUGGUGUGCACCAAGGGUAUUUACCAAUCCAAUCAAGAGCCAGCAACCAGACCAAAUAAUUUUGCCCUGUCCCAUUAAAAGUUAGUUCUUUUAAUGUGGAGAGCUAAUGACAACUAUCAACAAGUAUUGACAAUCAACAGCCCUUGACAGCAGGGUUGUUGACUGUCAACAGCCCUCAUCUUCCCAUCCUCAUCCUCCUCUCCUUCUCCUCCUCUCCUUCUUCUCCUCUAAUUCAACGAUAAGCAUUAAACAAAAAUUAGUUAGUAGUGACUGUUUCAAUAUAUUAACCAGUGAUGACAAUUUCUAACAUGUGGCACACUGAUCUAUUGUGAUGAGAGAAACAAGCUAUACCAGGAUCCAAGAGCUUACCAAGAUUCAGUUCAUGUAUCAAGUAACUGGGCUAGGACCCAUUUCCGUGAUUUGCCUAAAAGGCUAAAACUAUGAUAAAUUUGUAAGAAUCAUAAAUCAGAAUGUCAAUCAUUCUUAUUACUUACUAUUAUAGUCAAACUAUGCAAAUGUUAUUGUUAAUUAAAAGACUGAAUGUAUCAUCCCAAGGAUGAACAUAAAUAUGAAGGGCAUGCUCAAUUAAAAUGUUUGUAUAUGACUCAUAAGCAAGGUAGACGUAACAUCUACUUGAAAUUAAGCAAUCAUUUUGUGUCUUGCUUUUGCUUCCUAGUGCUUCCAUAUAGCCCACAACCAUAAAAUCUAUUAGAAGACCUAUGUCAAGAAAUAUACAUCCACCAUAGUUUUAAAAGUAAUCACUAUACCAAGGACCACCAUACCCCAUGGUCUGUUACGUUCCGGUCAAUAUUACUGUACCAUAUGUCAGUAUGUUGGUACAUAUCUUUCAGAAAAAGAUGAAAAAUGAUUGGAAAUUUACAAAAAUCUUUUUAUAGGUUUUUAUCAUAAUUUUAUUAUAUUUAAUUAAGAAUAGAGUGUAUAUAAGCCAUAAAUAAAUGGCUAAGACUGUAAUUAACCCCAAAUACCCUCAAUUAGGGACUAACACAAGAUAACGACCUUAAUCAUGUUUAGUCAUUGUAAAUAUGCAUUAAUACGCCUCUAAUUAUAUGAAAUGAGCGAAGGAAUGACCUUAAUACGACUCUAAUGACCUUAAUCAUAUCGGUACUCAUGCAAGCUAUGCAUGCAAGCAAACAAAUGCCUUACAGCCGUCUCUCGUCGAGAGUAAAGGUUCUUGAACCGCAGAGCUACGGGGUGUUCGGAUGCCAAAGAGUUAAAAAACUUCUCUUUGAUAUGGUUCAGUACUUAGGACAACCCAACCCCGAUCAGAAGAUUUCAAGGUGUCGUUAGUGAGAUGCAUCUCAUUGGUCAUGCAAGACUAUGGUGGUGCUGGUGCAUACGUUGGGAAGAAAUGCAGUAAGUGCUCAUCAAAGAAAGGCUCUCUAAAAGCUUCCAGAUGGAAUGACCCGAAGAAGAAAAGUGCUUCAACGGGACACGAAUCCAAAAGCAACAUCCCGAAGUUCGACAAAUGUUUUAUGAGCGAUAGACAACAUCUAAUGUUGUAAUGCCCACAGCAAAAAGAGGCAUUAAAUGCCCUUAUGGCUUCUUUCCAAUGAAAGGAGAAGGGUAGAGCAAAGGCGAAAUAUCCCGGGUGAAGCAAGUCGUGUUCAAGAAGCAACGUCUUGUCACCAAGACCUCACAUGGGAGAUAUGUGUUUGCAAAACACAUUGCAAGGUGAAGUCAAGGAGAAGCUUGAGUGAAGGCCAAAGAAGAAGGUGACCCUUCAAGCGUGAAUUUGUCGGAAUCGAGCAAUGAUGAAGGAUCAUCGCAAUGAUCUCACAUUAGGGUGGUGCAAUUGCUAAAUACAUUACAAGGUCAAGUGGGGGAGUAGUCAAAGGAGAUGAAGGCACAUAACCUAUUAAUGUUCGUGAACAUUAAACUAAACAGGAAGGCGGCUCACACAUCUAUGGACACAAAAGUCGCACACUUCAUAAUAAACUAAGAAGCAAAGUGACUCGGAUUGAAGCUGGCAAAGAGUCCAAGACGCAAGAAAGCAGUUAAUUCGAAGGCGAAACCUAUUUAUGGAUUUGCAAAGGGAGUCAACAUCUAGAUUGAAAAUUGGAGCAAGAGAACCAACUUCAUGGCACUUCCCUUGGACGAUUUCCAAGUCAUUCUCAUGGUGGAGUUUUUAUAUGUAGGGAAGUCACUAGGUGCACACCAAGCGCCCGGGUGAGGCAAGGCAAGGCAUAAGCGCCUCGAUAGUGGGCUGGGUGGGCGCCUUUAACUGGGCACGACCCAAGCAAAUGCCUAAGCCACCGAGCGCUUGGGCCUCCCCACUAUGCCUCCCCAGACCCGGACAACCCCCUCUCCCUCUUCCUACCCAAUCCCUCCUCCCUCUUCUCCUUCUCUUUGCUUCUUCCUCCACUCUUCCCCUCUCGUUAUCCCCUCCCUCUCCUUUGUCAUCGUCCCCCUCCCUCCUCCUAGAUAUGUCCUUCUCAACCAACAACACCCUCUCUCUCCUCCUACUACUUGAUUCCUCCUCCCUCUUCUUCCCCUCUCCUUCUUAUUGUUCACUCCCUUUUUCUCCUCUGCAAUUGCCCCCUCUUCCAUGAUAGCUCCCCUCUCCCCAGACCUCGACAACCUCAGCUAUGCAAAUGAUAAAGGAAUCGAGGCAAAAAGACCCUACUCAUCCCACAACGAUGCAAGUAGAGUCAGAAGGCCUCAGCGCAGGGCAAGGGUCCAUUGAGACAGAAGUUCUUGAAGAGUAUGUCGGUGUGUCAACUACUCGGUUCCCAAAGCCCUUUCCACGAGGGUGCAAGUUUGAAUGGCAGUUCAAACUCAGUAAAGGUGUCAUCUAGCUUAGCUGGUAAAGACUUUGACAGUAUAUCACAAGGUCCAGGGCUCGAAUCCCGCCUUCGUCAUUUACCCUUUACAAAAAAAACUCAGUAAAAGAGUCGAAGAUCCAAUCUACCAUUCACAUCGGGCAUCAUUUAUGAAGUAGGAGAAUCUUCAAAACCUUUCGAACAAGUAGUUGGACGAUGGAGUGCUCCAGGACUUAUCUUCACUUAUGGGUAUCCCAGUGCUUUCGAGGGGCAAGAUCGGACGAGCGAUCGUCAAUGCCAAACAAACAACCUAAGAAUCAAAGUUGGGAGGAACCUUCAACAAGCAAAUGCUGGUGACCACACUGAAAAGUUUUAGUCUGAAGGAUAAAAAAUCAAAAAGGAAAUGUGUCCCAAGUCACAUAGUCAAGACACUGUGACGACCUCGAGUCCACAAGGGACUCAACUACCCAAGAAGAACUUAGUCGAGAAAGCAUAAACUAAAGGUCAUAUGGUACUGCAACAAUGGGUCUUUCGAGCACUAACCAAACUUGUGCUCAAGAGGGAAGAGCACAGUUUUGACUGCUAAUAGGGCAUAAUCGAUCCCAAAGGCAAAUCUAUCAUACAAGUGCUCCAACAACACUUCCGACACUCCAAAAGUGUGAUGGUGAAGAGUGGGCGAAGUCAAGUAACUAGCUCGAAGCAAGGAGAACAACCCAAGGAAUUUGGGUGAAUCCAAUCAAAAGUAACCCAACUCUCCUCGCUUAUGUAGUGGAGCUAUGCAUCAAUUGAAAGUCCCCUUAAAGUGCUUAGAAGCUAAUAACCAUCAACUCUUCACCUUUGAGUGAUCGGCUACAUCGAAGGUAGCAUGUCCAUGCACUAUCCUCCCAUUGAGUUACCUUAGAAACGAGGAUAGCACGAACCUACUUGAAGGAGAUAAUGAAGGUUCUGAAGAUGCAAGGGGCAAUCUUCGCAGGAGAAGGCCAUUGAGUCUUUAAGUUCUGCAAUAUAGCAUUGGCAAAGUUCCAACCAGCAACAGUCAAGCUCUUGCACGAUAACACCUCAACGGGGCUUAAACAUAAACAUAAAGACCCUUCUCUUGCUGACCAACAGAUCCUAGGGAUUCAACAAGAACUGUUCCGACUCAACCAACUUCCCCAACUGAACCAACUCAAUGGGGAGUUACGACAAAGUGGGAGGAUCAAAGUCGAUGACUCAACAGCCAUGAAGCAAUGCAAUCAAGGUGUUCGACAUAUGUCCAUGACGAUUUUCAAUUCUUGUUUUACAUUGUUUUUCGGUGUGUUUGAGUGUUUUAUCAUAGGCAACAUGUAACAGGUAAAAAAUACAAUCGUCGGUUCCAUCUUGAUUUAUUGUUAAGUGUUUUUAUUUUUUGUUUUUGUCUUGUAAAACUCAAACAUUUUUAGUUAUGUGACAUCAUGCGAAGGGAAAAAUAGCUAAAAUCAUCUCAUUCUCAUGUGUCAUAUGACCUUGUGAUAUGAAACGUUAACUCUCUCAGCACCCCGUGAGCCUAUGGGUGGCACCAGGUCGAAUGGGGCCUUAGUUAUAUAUCUAAGGGAUUGUGCAAUAUCUUUAGUGUGUCUGUUUUUCGUUCGACGAAAAUGAUAGGUGAACAUUAGGUCUAUGCCUGCCUUCGAAACCCCCUUGGUGUGCGACCGUUCAAUCCAUUUUCAUAAGCCUUUUGUGCCUAGUAAAAGUUGGUUGCUUAGUGUUGCUUGCAAUCCCCAUUAUCUCUACUUUCAUGUGCAAGGGUGACAUAUUACUUGCACUUUCGCCUUUCUAACAUUUUCUUCUUUGUGUUGGUCCUUUGUGGAUUACACGAUGUUAAAGUUCAGGCUGACCCCUGUGGAUUAUUGUUUGAGUGUCACAUGCCUUAGGCAAUCCAAGCUAAGGACAUGAUAGGAUGGUAUGCCAACAUGCACCGCAUGGUAUCAUUGAAAAUAUAAUAAUAAAUGAAAUAUCAAGUGGUAUUAAGCCUAUGGUUCUAUUAUCAGUUCUUGGUCAAACUAGUAAAUACAAACCGAUAAAUAUAAUAAUAAAUGAAUUUAGGUCAUGCUCCUAGAAAUGUGGAUUGGAUAUUGCUUUUAAUAAAAUUAUUAUCUAAUAUAACCUAAAUGUUGUUUAGAUGCUUUGACAAUCUAGAACUAAAAAGUUCAGCCUUUUCGACUCCCAAAAUCAAUGCCAUGACAAGAUGGGUACCUAAUUGAUGUAGCUAAGCUCAUGAAGUAUCAAAAUAUACAUGUCAAGCUUGCAUAACAUAAAUAAAAAUUUGUUUGAUCUUGAUAUUUACAAUUCUCAUAUUGUGAACCGCAGUCCUUUUAUUUUUUAAAAAAAUGAUAUGAGAACUUGGUCCAGAAAAGUAUACCUCUUCAUAAAAAUCUUCCUCAAGCUCAUCAAUAGUUUGACCUUGUGAUCUACUACCAUAUAUUGAAACUACUUCAGAGCUAGAUAAAAAGCUAAUUUUUUCAUGCGGAGGAGUGCCAGCAAGAGCACGAGCAACAGCAGCUGCUGCUGCUGCACGAGCAGGAACCUGUUGCAUAGUAAUGAUAACAGAUCAAAUAUCUUUAAACAAGUGUGUUUAUAUCCAAGACAGCAGAUAUCAAGCAGGUGAACUACCAAGAGAAGAGUAAAAAACAGACAAAGAGAAGUAUGAUGUCAGAAAAGAUAGUUUUAACAGUUUAAAGGAACUAAUUUGCCUACAAACACAGGAAGAGAUUAAAAGAAUGAAAUGAGACUUGACUUGUAUAAACAUGGUUACACACAAAAAUCAUGUGAGUUAAGCUUUUUGUUCGAUGAAUUUUUAGCAACUCCAAACCAAUUUAUUGAUUACAUAUCAAAUAUUUAAAGGUUAGGGCCAGCAUGAAAUGCAAAACAUGCAUCUGCUCUUCAUGCAUUAGAGGAACAAACAUCUACUACAGCACUACUGCUCUGUGUUAUGGCAUGGAUCCUCAACUAACAAAGCAUCCAAUAAAUCAGUAUGCAAGAGAUAUCACAUCCUAAAUGAGACAAGGAAAUAUUAUGCAAUAAGUUUAUAAUGAGUUGGUCCAACUGCUCUGUAAUUAUAUGUAAGUUCCACAACAGUGAAGCUUAGGCAAAAUGGUAAAUUAAACAUGAAAUUUUAUAGGGUGAAAAAAGCUUUAUAUGAAACCGCUCAAAGAGAUUUUAGAAUAUGUUAUCAUUGGAGUUUAAAUGUCCAAACAUAGCAAAGAACAGGAAAAAAGCAGCAUCCAGGUCAUACUUACAAAAGAUGCACAACUGGUAGUCAGAAGUUGCUACAAUAAGAUAAUGUAAAGAAAUUUAGGAUAAUAAACUCAGCUGAUGUACAGAAAUUUUGAACAGUUAAGCAUCUCAACGUAUUGGUGAUUCCUGCUCAGUCUCAAUUCACAAGUAAUUCCUCCAGUUAAAUUAGGGCGAAUUAAAACUGCAGAUGAGGUAACAAUUAUAGAGGUGCAUAUGUUACAUCUGUGAAUGAAUAUGGAUUUCAGGCAUUGUCCAAAUGGUAUUAACAAAAAGGACAAUUUAAGCACUAAUAUGGACUUUUGAGCACUUCUUUCACACCACUCCAUCUUAGAAUGUCUCAUUUGCAGUUCACAAUAAAAUGAGAUCUGAAUACAGAAAAAGAUGCAGACUUAAAGCUCAAAGUUCAAGAGACGGUCUUUACUUUUACAUACUGUCACAUUGCUGCUUAUUUCCUUGUAAUACCAAGGUGCAAACCAUUGGAUUAAGGAUAAGAUGGACAUUUAUACAAUUUUAUAAUAAGAUGCUAGGCCUUGCAUAUAAAACAUAAGGCCCAUAAUAGUAAACAGCUAUUUUAUGCUACAAGCUUAGUAUGAACAGGAUCAAAAAGAAUAAAAGAAUAAACAAUUUAAGGCCUUGCAUAUCUAAUUCUUCAAAGAAAGUCUAAUAACAUCGUAGAAGACCAGCGUGUACAGAAAUUGAUUACUAUUACCGAGCACCCUUUCACGAAUAAAGAACAGUACGAAUAUAUGUAAGAAAUAGUUUUGGUAAUGCAUAGCUCAUCCGAAAGCUCAAUUAUAAUUCUUAUGUAACAUUGUGUCAUGAAAAUUACCUACUUCCUGUCCUAAAAGCUAAAGUCUACAAACUCACUUGAUGUUGCUAAAAAAUACAGAGCCGUAAUCAAUAAGAGCCUAUUUGGUCGUGCUGCAGAUAUCCCAUGCAUGAAACUUUGUUGAACCAUCAACAAUUGAAACAUUUAUGAACCACAUGAUGUAAAUAGCAUAUUACAUGAAUUUUUGUAUCAACUCUUCCAAGCAUAAUAAAUGAAUUUUUCUAUCAAUUCUUUCACCAAAAUAUUUAUUCUACACUAAACUAGAAAAAUAGCACACCAGUUCAAUCAACCCUCCAUAUUUUGGGGUGGUUUCAUCAUUAAAUUUACCCUGCACAUCAAAUCAGAAAAUAGCUUUCUGACAAUGGAUUUAUCUAACAUCAUGAGUGGAGUUUAUGGACUGGUAACUUUGUGGAAACCAUGAUCUUGGAUAAGAACCCAAAAGGCAAUUUAAGGUCUGGAAUUCUCAGAUUUAAUGAAUAAUUUUCUCUUAUGACUUUAGUGAUAACACCAGUUUUCCUUAAAAGGCUCUUGCCAUUUCCCAUGUAGAGAUGGCACUUUUCCCAAGUAUUGCCCAAGUGUUACUUGUCAAAAUCUAAAAACCUCAUCUGCAUUUGCGGCAUGUCCCUGAUAGUCUCACGCCAAGAGUAUAUGAGAAUGUGAAUUGGUACAUAAAUAUCUAAUAUCCUACCUCAAGUAAUUCAGUUUAAGCAUUGCGAGCCAAUUUGGUGGUGCACAUGGCUGAGUUACUAAAAUAAGAGGCUACCUCAGUUGUUACAAACAAAGAUUUUAAUUUCGAAUGAUACCACCCGUACCGGGCGGUACCGUCGAUUGGGGUUGUUUCCGCCCCGUUACCGCCCGAAAUCGGUCAGCAACGGUCGAUUUCAACCGUCGCCGCCCGCUACCAUGCGAUAUUAGCCGAGGAAGAAAGAAGAGGAAGAAGAAAAGGGAGAACCUGGAGAUCCGGCGCCGCUCUCCCUCGACCAUCCCGAUUCGUCGCCGCCCUCCCUCGUCGGACGCCGCAGACGAGAUGUCGCCUCCUCCUCAUUUAAGGUGACAAGGCCUCGAUGUCGUCGGUGACUUCUCCUUAUCCGCGCAGGGAGAAGAAAACGCGCGGGGAGAAGAAAACGAGGUUUCUUCUCCUCACGCGGGAAGAAGAAACGAGGCGACGUCGCCCUUUUUUUAUUAUUUAUUUUAUUUAUUUAUUUAUUAUUAUUAUUAUAUAUACCGACCGGUAUGCCAGAGCAUACUGCUCGGUACGCUCAUACCGUACCAUACCAAGCUGAGCUCAAAGCGUCGGUACAGUACAAAAUUACGAACGUAGGUUACAAAUUUAUCAGAGCAUAAAUGUAACGGGCCGAACAGCUGACAAUGUACAAGAAAUGUUGGGAUCUAAUGUGUGUUAUGGCAGUUACCCUCGAAGCAGCAGGGGCAGCAGGACCACCAAGAAUGGUGAGAAAAACAUGGUACUUGCCUUUGGAUUUAGUAUCGCCUGCAAGGAUCCUAAAGACCCAAAUAGGCUGCAACAAUUACAUCAGGAAUUUGAGGUGUUGAGGUUAUUACUUAUUAUACCACUGAAUAAUUUCCACGAUGAGAAUGUAUGACAAUUAGAAUUAACAUAUAAAAUCUAGUAUGCUACUGCUUAUAAACGAGAAUCAUUUUGGGCUGCAUCAGUGCCGAAUUAAAAUGCUAUUGUGCUAGUAGGCCAAGCGAGAUAUGAUAGCCCAUACCUUCCAUAGAAGCUCUAAACAGAGCACGAUAACAUACUAACAAAGCCAUGUCAUGUAGAAGAACCUGCUAAUUUCGCCACCUAGCAGUAACCCAGAUAAGCCAAAGAGAGCACGAAGGACAUAUGCUACGCCACUGGAUGCAAAGAGGACCAAAUGCUCUAGAACACUUUAUUUAACCAAGUGCUCUUUCUUUAUGAGGAUAUUCCGAAGCAAUCUCUUAUGAGAAACCCUUGAGCUUGGCAGCAAGUGCAACUAAGGACCACAUUUUGUUGUUUUCAGGAAAUCAAUUCGGACUAAGACCAUCUAAAGCACCCAGAUAAACUAGAAGAAUUAAUUAAAUCAAAAACACUGACCAAGGAAUUUAUGAAGACAAAAACUUGAUCAUAAAUAUAGUUAGAACAAUAAUUAAUACUUUCAAGCGUUAGUGUUAUAUACUAACAUUUCGCAUAUCACAACAUAAGCAAUUUUUUCAGAUUAGAAAGACUACAGCCUCCGAGGGAGAACAAUCUGCUGGCCCUUCUGCCUCUUGGGGAUAUAGGGUCUUCUUGAUAUUCACGUCUAGCUGGGUGAAAAGAGAGCUUACCUUAUAACUAAUGGUGAAGCUAGUCUCAAGAUCCAAGUUCAGAUUAAAGCACAUUUCACCCCACGAAAGAGUUGCUUUUAUUCUUUUUGCCGAAUAUAGUUAUGCCAUAAUCAGAACUCUUUGUGAAAGAAGAACCCUUUCUUGAAUGGUCAAUGAAGAAUCCAACUCAAAUCCUCAAUGUAUCAUAAUGAACUAAGCUUGUACUAAGAAUAUUCAAGAAGGAAAAGAAAAAAGAACAAAGGCGAACCGAGAAAGAUCGCACCUCCGGCCGAUCGGAAGAGGAAGGGAGAAGGCCGAGAGAUCUAGCGGAGCGGACGGAGCUGAUUAUCUUCUCCCCGACCUUGGAGAGAUCCAUUCCUCCCCCCUGGAUGAAGAGCAAGGGGAGGAAGAGGAGGGGCCCCGGGGCCUCAAACUCCGGGAUCGAGCGGCCGUCCAGGAACGAUGGGGGAUCUCCCGUCGGAUCCGGCCGCAUCUCAGCUCCGGCGUCCAGCGAUGACAGGAAACGAACCGGCGCUCAUCGAUCUCAUCACAAGAUCAAGAAAAAGGCGACGACGACGCGAGCGAGGGUUUCGAAGGCGAUCCGUGGCGGCCGAGAUCAGAUCGGGAUGGCGGAAAGCGAGCGGCGCGGCACCCGAUCGGCGUCGUCGGCAAUUAUUAUCAAGAAGAGUGGAAGCGAAGGCGAGAGAGGUGUGCAGGUUGUGCGGUCGUCUUGGUUAACGGAGACCCGACGCCGUCUUAUGGAGGUCGCCACUGCCCACCUCGAAAACUAAAACACCAAGAACCACGCACGUGCGACGCACGCGAGGUUCUUGGCACGACCGUUAUAACGUUAUACAGACCUUCGAUCGCCGUUUUGGUCCGGCUUAACCCGGGCCAUCUCUUUGGUCGCCCGUCCCCAGUCCACAAAGAACCAGACACGUGGAACGCAGGCGAGAUUGUUGACAUGACCGUCAUAAUGUUAUAAGUCUUUUUAAUAGCCAAUUGUAACAUUAUGAUGUUCUAAUGGCUACUGCUGCGACAUGAAGUAAUUGGUGUUUGAAAUUUUGGUAAAGUCUUGGAGUUACCAUGAUUUAGGUACGUUUGAAACGUACUAUAUUAGUCCAAAACACAUUUUAAAUAUUAAUUAGUAUUUGAUAAAUUAUUUUUAAAUUACAUGCUAUAUUAAAAAUAUUCAAAUAUCGAUAUUAUCUUAGAGGAGCAUUGGCAUCUCACCAUUUAUAAAAUAAUAAUAUAAUAUUUUAAAUUUUUGAAGUACCUUAUAAAAUUAUUUUAAAUUACAAGAUUACCAAAACGAUUUUACAAGAAACAAACAUAAUUUAUCAAUUUCUAUUAAGUAAUUUUUUAUUUUUUUUAUUUUUAUAUAAUUUUUUAUUUAUUAUAUAUUUAUGCCAUACAAAAUUUUUUACAAGAUUAUAUAUAUGUAAAAAUAUUUUUUAUUUAUUGUAUAUUUAUGCCGUGUGAAUGUUUUUACAAUAUUACAUAUUUUUUAUCUUUUUUACUUAUUAAUUUAAAUAAAAAUAUUUUUUAUUUUAAAAAAUAAAAAUAUUAAAAUUAUUAGAAGGGUAAAUUUAUCGAAAAAAAAGUAAUGAACUUUUGAAGUAUAAUUUUACUAAAUAAUAUUCACGUCAAUGCAUACUUAAAAUAUAAUCAAGCAUUCGAAGUAUUUUAUAAUGGCACAUUCACUCAACCUCUCUCUGUAACUAUAUUAGAAAUGAAAAUGUAUUUCCAAACACAGCCUUAGCCUUCUCAUCUCAAAAUCUUGAUUUAUAUUUAUAUUUAUAAUGCUUAAUGGGAAAUCUUUGUCUCCAUUUUUAAGAAUAAUAUGAUAUCUUGAUUGAAUGCAAUUUUUUAUUAUCUCAUACAUAUAUGAUAAACAUGUUUUUAUCCUUACACCAAAAGACCCAUAUUAAUCUAAAACCCUAAACCUAUGAACAAAUUGAGCAAAGGAAAUAGACAAUUUAGUUCCAAUUCCAAAUGAUUAGAAGUAUUGUUGUGUUCAUGAAUUUGUUAUCUUAGAAUUCCGUUCAAGGAAUUACACUAUUUUAAGUAUAGAAACAAUUUAUAUAUCUUUGUAUAAUAUUGUCAGUCGUUAAUCUUGGACAAUUAUAAGUAUCAGGCAUAAAUCAUAAAAGGAUUUGUUCUGAUGCGGUAGCAUAAAUUCCACCGAUGGCUUUUGUGAGAGACGAGAACUGAACAUUGACCAUAUAAAAGCUUUUCAAAAUUAGCAUAAAUAAAUAAAUCCAUAAUCUAAAAUCGUCAGGUUCUAUAAAGAAUAUUUCAAAUGGAUUGAAGAACAUGAUGAUUACUACGAUAUAAUUAAAGAUGAAUCUUUUUUAUAAAUAUUAGUGUCAAUUAUUUUUUAUUAGCCUCAUGAUUCGUGUCUUUUAAAUUAUAAUAACUAUAUUGAUCUCACAUUUUAAAUAUUAGUGUUGUGGUAAUAUAUCAAAUUCACUCAUCAAAUAUUGAGGAUUUGAUAUCUCAUUUCAUAUAUAUUUAAAGAAAAAACUGUAUGGAUCGUAUGGAAGGGAUCCAAUUAUCAAAACAAACAUUAAUUCAGAUACCACAUAUAAUUCACUCCUCAAUCAUCAAAUUAUAAUUACAUAUAAUUCACGGUCAUGUUCGGCGACCUAAAUUACGGUUCGAGAUGGGCCGGACUAAACCGGCGAUUCAAGGUAUUUAUAACGUUAUAACGGGCGUGUCACGAACUGGCGUGCGCUGCACGUGUCUGAAACGGGCAGUGACGACGGCGUCGGGUCUCCGUUAGCCGACGACGACCGUUCGACAAAUCAUCCUCCGCGAACAAUUGCAGAAGACGCCGAUCGAGGCUCGCGCGAGUCACCCUCCCUGAUCCGAUCGCGGCCACCACCGUCGCCUUCUUCUUGAUCAUGCGGCGAGAUCGAGGAGCGCGAGAGGCCGUGGAGAGCUGGCGGAGGAGGAGGAGGUCUACCGGGGAUGCGGAGGGCGGCGGGGUGAGGAUGGGGCGGAAAUGGAUCGGGCGGCUGAGAGGGGCAAUGCUGGCGGAGAGAACCAAGCCAUGGAUCUUCGGACGAACGACAGUCGGUUCCUUUGGUGGCGAACGGCGAACAAAUUGCGAGUGAUGAGCGGGGUACUUCCUUUGGUAGUUAGCCAACCAACCAAGACUUGUCAUCUCAUGUUGUUUGGGUGUUUGGAAAAC